UUUUUUUUAAAGUGACAUUUAUAAAAAAAAACAUUUUUGAUGGGCAGAAACAUAUGCUCCCAAGAGUGGAAUUGGAUUUCUGUUUUACUUUACAUAUGAAGAUUGUCACAAGUCAAACUUUCUAAAGUUUGACCAAGUCUAAAAAGAAAAUAUCAAUAUUUGUAAUACCAAAUCAAUAUCAUUAGGUUCAUCAUUGAAUAUAUUUUCAUUUUGUCAAUGCUGAUAUUUUCAAUAUUGAUAUUUUUACAUUUUGCCGAGAAAAUGUGAUUUGUCAACCACUUUCUGGAGGUUUACAUACAACAAGGCACAAAAUCGAUAGAAGUUCUAACGCAUGUAUAAAAUGGUUACAGAGCUGACAGAGAAAGCAAAGAAAGGACUUUUCAUCAGCCAAGCCUAUGCCAGAUGGAUGCACUUGAGGCGAUCUCGAUCGCCUCUUUGUACUGAAUCAAGGCGUUGCAAAGCAUCAAGUAGUACAGAUAUAACUUUAUACAUGGUGUUUACCUUGGUGCGGCCUAGUACAAUAGUACUCCAUAACUCAUUCGGAAGAGGAAACAUUAUACGAUUCUAACAGCUGACUAGAUUAGACCACCAUACCUGCUACAACAAUCUUAGGACAAAUGGAUCGUCGUGCUAUUUUCUGACAGGGCCUGCAGUUCCGUGCAACCAUCACGAGCACCGGGAAAUUCAAAGGUGGCAAAAACAGAGUGCUUCGGAGAACAAUGGAAUGGAGAGUAAGAUGUGUGUCCAAUACGAAUAAACACAAGCGCAUUUUACAAAGCAAAAAGCAAGUGUAAGAAUCGGUACACUUCUACUCGUAUAGGAUUUAAAAGCGCGGAAUAGAAAGAAAGAAAAACGUGUGUCGGCUAGUAGGAGGCUAGGCAAUGUUUUGUGUCGCAUUUCAAGCUAUGAAUAAGCAAAUGGGUUCAUAUGAAUCAGUUUACAGCUUCGGUGACAUGUUAGAAUGGUUCUGAAGUUUGAGAUACAAGUGACGCAGAGCUGCAACCUUAGACACCAUAGUGCAUUUUGUUUACAUGCAAACAUUUCCAAUAUGAACAGUGGGGAUGUUUGCUGUAAUUACAAGUGAUUAAAUGGGUCAAUGGAAUCAUAUGAACAAAAACACUCAUAGUGACGUCAAAUUUCAACAUUUGUAGAACAUACAGAAGACAUUGGCAACUUUUUUGUUUUUACAGAACCUCCUCUCGACCAACUGCGUACAUUUUAUUCUUAUGUCAUCUAUCCUGCAUAUGACCGAAACUGUACAUUGCAUAUAAUAACUCUGACCUACCAAGGAUAAGCAGUUAAGCACACAUCAUAGACUGAAACAUACUAAUUUGAUCAUCACCCAGAUAAGCUUGUGCACCUCUUCCUUUUAAUACUAAGUUUAAUUGGACACAUAUGGUGCCUAUUAGUAUACCCCCAAAGCAACAUGACAUGUAUCUUCCUGAUUUUUUUAGUUUAAAUGGUUAGAAGAUUUUGGACAGCUUGUACAAAUAAGGAAACAGAAAUAUGUUCAGAACACAUUUGGUGUUUUGGGGUAAAUAUUGAAGAGGGCUGGGACUGCACUCACUGCACUUCACGAGUGAGUUGAGAUACAAGGAUAUGGAGUUGGAGACAUAAACCAUAUACGAAAUAGAAAAAAAAUGCGGUGCUUGAUUUCAUAAGUUGCAACCAUUAGCUUCAAUUCCUUUAUGUACUAGGGAUUAUUUGCUGAAUACAAACUGGAUAUGACACUAGAUUAUAAUAUAAACUGAUAGCUACCAAUGCUACCACCUAUGUGCACUCCUAACUCGGUGCACACUCUAUGGACUAGCAAUCAGGUGAUUCUCCUGAUCUGGCCCGACUCGAACCGAUCUCCAGGUGGACAUCAUGGUGCCGGACCCCUAGGUUUCUUGCAGUGGAAUAUAAUAAGUGUGGCCCAACAUAACAAGGAUGUGUUCCUAGACCAGAGAUGUAACUUUAUCAUGUGCUUGUCAUGCCAAGUCGUUCAGCUAUAACAUGCUGCAUUGCAUAAACCUUCUCGAUAUCCUGAACUUCCUAGAAUUCAUGGUGCAAACUUCAAACAUGCCAUUUUACAGAGCUUAUUUGUAAGAAUAUCUUAUAUUUUGAGAGUACAGUAGCUUUAGGUCCGAUAUAUUAUCGUGCUCAUAUAUGCUUAAAAGGGAUGCAAGCAGGCAACCCACAAAGCCCGCAUAUUAUGCUAAGAUCAAGUGAAACAUUACACUAGACGGAACAUCGCAGGCUGCCCGCUUGCAUCCCUACGAUUUCCGGGCAGUUUCAUCCAUCUGCCAUUUCUUCCCACUUCAAAAGUCAGAAUUUACACAGAAAAAUAGGGAUAGUCAUAACAAACAGGAUAUAAGUUAAAGUUCUUUGAUCCCAGGUGCAUUGCAUGGCAUGAUUUCAGAAAGAGAAAAGUGCAGUUAAGUUUAACAAAAUUAACAGUAGAGGCCAGGGGAAAAACAGUGCCUUUGUGCAGGGUAGAGCGCCGCAGAAUCUUCCAGCUACUUUACAGUCACAGCACUGUCUGUCCCAGCUCCUCUAUAAGCUUCCAGAACUUCAGGAAUAGUUUGCUGGUAACCAGUGACAUACUUCUCCAUGAACUUCUUCUCCCCCAGUAUCAAGUGGCUUAUUCGGAUUCGCUGGAUGACACCCCUUGACACCAAUAUGUCCAGCACCUGGUACCUUGGUAGGAGCCGCUUCUCGUAGCUGAGCGAGAUAAGCAUCGGGCUAGCCGAAACAUACUCCGGGCUCCAGCCAAGCUUAUCGGCAAAGAAGUGCGAGAUACGCCUCACUUUGUCGUCCGAUACAGACAUGCAGUAGGGGUGCCUGACAAAGGCCAGCUUCACCAGCUCCUCGGUCCACCCCAAGCUGAGAUAAUUGUCGAUCCUGCGCUUCCAGGUCACCGGGCUCAGUCUGGCAAACAGCCCAAAGGCGUAAGGGAAGAUGCCGGAGGACGGGCUGACCCCGAGCUCUUUCAUGGCAGCCAGGCUCUCGUUGAAGAAGGAGGACCUGUGAAUGAGCGACCUGGGGUGCGUGGUGACCAGCUUGACGAUGACAGCGUCCGUGGCGCCAUGGUCACGGAGGAUCUUGACCUUGGGGAGCAGGUCGGAGCGGACGUUGCCGUGGAUGAGCUCAAAGGACUGCUUGACGGCGGAGCGCACGUUCUGGUCGGUGCCGAGGAGCUCCCGGAGGAGGAGGUAGUUGGGGCGGAGGCGGCCCUCGAGGCUGUAGCAGAGGGAGCGGUACGGGUUGGCGAGGAUGGUCUUGCGGAUGUGGUCGUCGGUGAGGCCCAGGUCCCGGCGGAAGAAGUCGAGCUUGGGCGCGAGGACGGCGUCGGCGCGGUAGUUGAGCAUCUCGGGGGCGGCGGCCACGACGCGGGCGAGGUCGGCGCCCGCCAGGCCGAGGCCGCGGAAGAGGGCGAGGACGGCGUGCGCCCUCUUGGUGGAGCGCAGGUGGACGCGCCCGGCGAUCUUGGCGACGGCGGGCUCCGAGAGGCCGCAGGAGCUGCGGAGGAAGUGGAGCGUGAGGGAGCACGGGUCCGCCGCGGCGUGGGAGACGCCGGCAUGGCCGCCCAGCAGGUGUUUGAGGAAAUGCGCGAGAGGGAGAUGGCCGCACGAGACCGGUGAUACGGGUGGGAUGCCGCCGCCGGGGAGGAGGAGGCGGUGGCUGCGAAGCAUCUGGCGGUCGGUCGCGGCGUGGGAGAGCGCCGGGAGCGGCGGCCGGGGAGGAGCACGGCGCGGCGCGGCGGCUGCGCGGCCUCCUCUCUGUUUCUCUAGUCUAUCUCAAAUCUGUCAAUCCACCGUGGCUGGGUCGAUUCAGUAUGGAUGGGGGUAAUUUGGACAAAUCCUGGUCUAUUUGGUUAGUUCUGAAUAUCAAAAAGGCCCCCGUGGCAAAAGGGGUGGGUGGAGAAGAGACCGCGUCUUUCCCUCUUGCCACCACAAAUUGACUGAUUUGCCCUAUGCCCUUGAUUCAAUAGUUUAAAAAACCGAACCGGAGAUCGAACCAGUGAGCCUGUCGUUUCAGGUUUUUACUGGUUGGACCGCCGGUUCCCCGGUUCAUCGCCCGGUUGUUUACAUAAAAUAAUACUAUAUGUUCAGCAAUAUUUAUAUAUGCUACUAAUAUAGUGUUAAGUAAUGAUCAAAUAAAAUUAAUUCCUCAUAAUUAAAAACAAAGUAGCAUGGUCGAGUUGGUUAUUGGCACAUGAGCAUGUAAUUCCUGCUCCCUUCUGGGAUUGAACCCCACUUCUUACAAAUUUUGCACUAGUCAUUUUCAUGUUCUUCUCAGGUUUAUUCACCAGUUUUUCAGAAAACCGACCGAUAGUCCAAUUGCAGAACAGUCUUAUAUUAGCUUAAAAAGGCACCAAGGCCGCCGGUUCCCUUUUUUUCCAGUUCGACCGCCGGUCCGUCUGGUUUUUUAGACUAUACUUGAUUCACUAUAACAUGUUAUGGGUGGUGACUCCGCUCCUCCUAGCGAGGUUGUUGCUCCCCUCUCCCAUCGAUUGCAACGUGUCCUGUGGUGGCGGCACUUCAAUGGUGACGAUGAAUACUUGAUUCACUAUAACAUGUUACGGGUGGUGACUUCGCUCCUCCUAGCGAGGUUGUUGCUCCCCUCUCCCAUCGAUUGCAACGUGUCCUGUGGCGGCGGCAUUUCAAUGGUGACGAUGACGCCCUGGCGCUAGACCCACCUCAGUCGCUCUUUUGUUGCUCUUGGCGAUGGGUCUAGGGUUGUACGCAUCGUGGUGAAGUUUGUGAAGAUUGCUUCAGGAGGAUUGUCGACGGUUGAUGUCUUGGUUGACGGCAGUGUUGGAAAUGGAGAUGUUGGUUAUGCCGAAACUGUGCAGGCGGCAAUGAAAGGCGGAUCAAGCACAUUUCUUCGACAAGGGUAUCAAGGUAUUUCCCUCUUGUCACGCCAAAUUGAUUGAUUUGCCCUUGAUUCCAUAGCUUAAAAAACCGAACCGAAGAUUGAACCGGUGAGCCUAUCGGUUCAAGUUUACCGGUUGAUCGACCAUCGGUUCACCAGUUCAUCGGCAGGUUUUUUUACCUAAACUAAUACUAUAAGUUUAGUAAUAUUUAUAUAUGCUAAUAUAGUGUUAAAUGAUGGUCAAAUAAAAUUACUUACUCAUAUUUGAAAACAAAGUAGCAUGGUCGAGUUGGUUAUUGGGCCAUGAGCACGUAAUUCCUGCUCACACGCGUCCUAGGAUUGAACCCCACUUCUUCCAAAUUCGGCAUUAAUCAUUUUUCUGUUUUUCUUUGAUUUAUUCACCAUUUUUUUUCUAGAAAAUAGGUUGAUUUUAUCGGUCUUCUCUGCUCCAAUUGCAGAAUGGUCUUAUGAGCUUGAAAAACCGCCAGGGCCGCCUGUUUCGGUUUUUUCAGUCCGACUGUCGGUCCCGUUCGUUUCUUUAACUAUGCUUGAUCGCUAUAACAUGUUAUGGGUUGUAACUCCACUCCUCCUAGCGAGGCUGUUGCCCCCCUCUCCCACCGUUUGCAAUGUGUCCUGCGGCGGCAUUUCAAUUUCAACGACGAUGCCUUGGCGCUAGACCCACCGUAGUCGUGAGAGGAGUUUGGUGAGUUUAUCUUUUGUUGUUCUUCUUGGGCGAUGGAUCUAGGGUUGUCGACAUUGUGGUGAAGUUUGUGAAGAUUGCUUCAGGGGUAUUUUCGAGGGUUGUUGUCUUGGUUGACAAUGGUGUUUGAAGGUGGAGAUGUUCGUUAUGCCGAAACUGUGCAAGCAGCAAUGGAAGGUGAAUCAAGCACAUUCCUUGGACAAGGUCAGAGCGGGGCCGACUACAAUCCCGAUCAAAGCGUUACUUCAAGUUAUUGAUGGUCAUCCAUGGACUUGGUUGUUUCUUUUUCUUUUUCUUGGGUGGUUUCUACAAACUUUCAACACAUGUUAUUGAUGGUCAUCUUCAAUCACUUCACGUGAUGCACUAUCAAUGAUUUUAUGUCACUGCUUAAAUUUUUGGAGCAUUAUUUUCCACAAAAUAGUACUACUAGGUGUACAACUAUUAUUUUGUACUACUCUAUCCCAUAAUAUAAAAAUGUUUUUUAAGCUAAAACAGUUUGAAAACAUUCUUAUAUUAUAGGACAGAGGGAGUAGCAACUAAUAGUUUUGACUUGAAGCAUAAUAAUAUCACUCUGCUUAGUACUACUGCGGACCGUCUCAUUCCGCCUGUCAGUACUUUUAUUUUUCAUUACGCAUCUUUUUUCUUCUAACGUUAUACACAUCCAUUCCUACUGGAACAAGAAGAGAGGCAUUUCCAACCGUUUAGUCAACAGCCAGCCGGCGACUCUCUCUUCUGCUAAGUCAAUGAAAAGCCAGCAACGCUGGAUCUUUCAAAAAAAAAAAAAAAACAGCCAGCCGGCGAGUGAGACUGCCUGUGGGGCCCAAUCAACUUGGACACGAGCAGAAGAUAACCCCAGCACUCCAGCACUGGACAGGCAAAGAACACUGACUACACAUAACCCGAAGAGGUAAUUACUUACCAUCCCUCCUUUGAACAGCUCAAAAACCUACAGGCCGAUCCAGUCCAGGUCAUUCAGGUUCAGGCAUCUCUCCGCGGCCGAACGAAACUUGGUGCUGACAUCUGCAUCAGUUUCACAAGGCAAACACAACGAAAUCUUACUAAUAUGGAACUUGGUUGGACAAUCGCGACAAAGUCGAGCAUAUUGCUUGCUCUACAUUGUGUUCUUGCUGCCAGCUACAGCAGCGAUGGGUAGAGUUUCAGUUUCAAGGUCGUUGAAUUCGGCGUCUCCUGAUUUCAGUCAAGGAAUCAUCAUCAUCCCGUGAGCCUGCCUGGAGUUUCUGGUUUGAAAUGCACUAGGUGUAAAGGUAACUAAGAUGGAAGAUCCCAGCUUCCAGAGCUAUUAUUAACUGAACUCAAGGUACGACCGAAUGAUCAAAUUUCAGACCAAUUGUUUUCAGAGUACCAGGAAAGGAAAGUAACCACCACAGGCUCUAGGCCUAGGUGUGUAUGAAUGACCUAGCAGUUUAAUGAGCUUCAGUUACACAAAAACGAAGCCGGUUUCAGAGCAAUUAGUUACUUUGGCUGAUACCUCUUAUUCCCCAUUGAAGGCAGAAUUUACCGACUCCGAAAUUUAUACGGGUGCAAGCUCAGAAGUCUUACAUCCAAAAUUUGUGCGAUGUGCUCUCCUUGAGUAAUUUGAUGCAGGAGACAAGCAAAAGUUGUAGUGAUCAGCCCUGGUGAUUGGUGAAGAUCUCCAUUGUCUAUCUUUGCUCUGCAUCUAGUAUAUGGUUUAGGGAUUCUGAAAAGAAACAAAAAGAAAAUCUAGGCAAAACAGAGCAGCACAAUGCUCAUCAACAGUUAAUUUCUGGGCAUCAAGGGAAUAUAUAUCCUUCUCUCCUUAAUACCAAACUCAACAUAGUAACAUGUUAGGCUAACGACACCAUAAGCUUCACGGUGACAUCAAGUGCUUACACCUUCACAGAAACCCCACCUACGUACACAGGGUUGCGAGUGACUCUUGUUACCAGCCCAGAAACUACAACUGUCCAUUCAUUUUACACCCUGCAUUGUACCAAAAUGACCCCACGCAUGCUAAAUUAGCACUUCAAAGUUCAAACUCAACCUCUACCGAGUCUGACUUCUCACUAACACCACCACCAGCCAAGGACUGAUUCAUCUCAUUGACCACCAGGAGGACGGAUCUGCAGAACAAGGGUGCACGAACAAGAGAUCUCUUCAGCCAGGGGGGCGCCGCCCUGGUCAGAGAGCUGCUGAUGGUCCGGGAGAAUGCACAACUCAGAGUAGAUCCACGCUUUGAUAUCGUCAAUGGUCUGUCCGGGCUUAAACGCGCGAUCAAUGACCUCCUUCCCGUUCACCGUCCUGACAAAUAUGCGCAUCCCACCUCUCUGCCUCGUGACGCCGCGCAACACAACAUGAAGGGUAGAUGCAUGUUGCACGUCGUAGUCAGCCAAGGUGCGGCCAUCCUCCAGCACAUUCCCAGCAAAGAUGAGAGUCUGUCUGUCUGGGGGAACGCCGGUUUCAGCGGAAACCUUUACCUUCACACUGUAUAUGGUAUCUUCUCCCUCAGCCACAGCAGUCAUGAUCUUGUCAGUCAGUCCCCUGAUAAUGAUGUGCAUGUGCAUCCCACUUCUUUGACACGUGAGGCCGUGGAACACCACAAGAUGAAUGGUACAUUCGUUGUGCACAUUGUAGUCAGCCAAGGUGCGGCCAUCCUCCAGCUGCUUCCCAGCAAAGAUGAGACGCUGUCUGCCUGGGGGGAUGCCGGUUUCAUCAAAAAUCUUUGCCUUCACACUGUAUAGACUAUCUUCUCCCUCAACAUCAAUAGCCAUGAUCUUGCCAGUCAGUGUCUUGACAAAAAUGUGCAUCCCAUCUCUCUGACACGCCAAGCGGAACACAAUAUGAAGUGUAGAUUCAUUUUGCACGUUGUAGUCAGCCAAGGUGCAGCCAUCCUCCAGCUCGUUCCCAGCAAAGAUGAGACGCUGUCUGCCUGGGCAAAUGCCGGUUUCAUCGUAAACCUUUGCCUUCACAAUAUAUAUGCUAUCUUCUCCCCCAACCUCAAUAGUCAUGAUCUUGUUAGCCAGUGUCUUGACAAAGAUAUGCAUCCCUCGGGGGACAAGGUCAAGGGUGAGCGUGGACUCUUCCUCGAUGUUGUAGUACUCCAGGGUGCCGCUGUCCAUCAGCAGCUCACUGCCAAACAUGAGUCUCUGCUGGCCUUCAGGGAUGCCCUCCUUGUCUCGAAUCUUAUCCUUGACAUCAUAGAUCGUAUCUGAUCCCAUGACAUCAAGAGUGAUAGUCUUUAAACAGUGGAUCUUUCUUUUUUUGCGAAAAUUUGAACAGUUUAUUUUGACAAAGAUCUGCAUCUGUUGAACAAGCGCACAAAACAUUAGCAUCUUAGACACAAGGCUUUCAUUAAAGACACCAAACUGUAAAUGAAAAGAAUAGUAGCAAUUCCAACAGAUAGUAGAACUAAAAACAGAAAUCUGCACAUUAACCGCAACAAACCAUCAAGUUCCACGAUGAUGAUAGUUGGUGUUGCACAGGGUAAUACAUCUUGUUAAGAUCAGAAGGACUAGCAAAUUAUUGAUAAAUAUAAACAUCAGGGCUGUUUUGGGCUAUGUUGUCAGUCAUUCAUAGAUACACAACAAUGUUUUGAGAAAAUCAAGUAUCUUACACAAAGUUGACAGAUAUUGUGAUAUUAUAGUACAUAAUACUUGAGAAUCCUACAGAUUAGUCCUUUUCCUUCUUUUAAAUAUAAAUCAAACGAGAACAAGUUUGAUAUUCUCCAUCUAACCGGUCAUAAGAUCUGACAAGUCUAAUGAGAUCAACCCCAUCUAUGAUGCAUUACCCUUCAAAUUAAUCCAUGGAUUGGAAAUACAAAAAAAACUACCAGACAAAUGCAUUCAAGAUCAAACGUUAUAUGCAGGUAGACCCUACUAGAGACUGAGACCAAACCAACAGCUGUAUACGAUUCAGGAUACUGACCUUUAUAUCUUUGGCCAGCAAAAUGUCACAAUGGUGUAAAUUAAAUGAUUGACUGGCCAGAAACAAGUAUGGGGCAAUGUUAACUUGUUAAGUGCUGAACAGGAGCAGGAAGACCUUCAAGUUGCUAUAUGAUCAUAUAAGGCUGAUCACGACCACAGUUCUCAUGCAAGGUUAAUUCAUCAGGGAGUCUGUCAGCAAUAUUGGAUCCACUCGGAUGACAAAAGUGAAAGAAACAGCUAUCUUAUAAGGAAUAUGAACACUUCGAUCCACUCGAUUUCUAGAGAAGAUGACACAGCAAAAUUGUUUACAGCAAAAUCAUCUAGAUCUCGAGGAGAUAAGUAUCACAUAUGCUGAAUCUGGGAUGGAUCAGGCAAAGAUGGAGCAGUACGUGAGAAAAGGAGAUUGAAAGAGAGACUCACCGUGCACUGUUCAAGAUCCAUCUCAUUAGUAUCCUCACUAGUCACCUGCUACCAAACAGACCCUGGUCUAUUAGCACUCCCCCAGAAGAGGAUUAUCCUAUGUAGACAUCAGAUAUCAUGGAAAUCAAACCUAACCCCUAAUUAAUGGUUUUUUUCCAGGAACCUUCUUUAGGUUGUAUCAUGCAUUAUUAAUUAACAAGAAAACCAUGGGCACAGAUCAAUGACUAAGAAAAUCAUGGCAUACAAAAGCUGGACAGAUUGUUUUUCAGAUGUGGAACUGAUGUUUCAGUGAGUACCUUGAGUUGAGAGUUAUCGGGGUCAGAGAGAGCUUCACAGGCUUCGGAAUCCACCAAGUCCCUCUUUUGAAGUUCUACAUUGAACACAAAAGGAAUGAUAUCAGUAGCAGCAUAAUUCGCCAGAGUUGGGCGCUUUGUUCUAGAAGUUAAACUCUCCUAAUGGACAACCAAAUUGCUGUUGAGCACAUCAUAGAGCUACAUAGAUAACUUCCUGACCCAAAUGGAGGGGCCAAAAUGGGGAAAUGAUGCCAAUUUUCCAACCCAGAUCAUUCAAAGCAAGCAACUUUUUUGUGGCCUGAGAAGAAGAGGAGAGAUUACCGGCAAGCUUGGGAUUAGCACCUGGAGGCAGCUCCGCGUAGGCCGCCUUCCACCUCUCCCUGCUGGCCUCCGCCUUCAAUCGCAAGCACAGGAGCCAGCAUCAGGCGAGAACAAGCCAUGAUUAUUUACGAAACCCCCAAAUUGACAGAAACCCUAGAGGGAACCCGCGGUCCAGCGAAUCACCUGGAGGAGGCGGGCACGGAGGCUCUUCUCGCGGGCUUCCGACAGCCUGUUGAUUUCCUCCAGGCGCGCGCGGUCGGCGGCCAGCUCCUCGACCUGCGGCAGCAACCCCAUGAGCCGGUCGUAGACGCGGCGCCACUCCGCGGAGGGGAACUCAAGAGGCAACGCCCCCGGACCGCCGCCGCUCAUGGAGACGACGGAUGGUCUUUUUCCCCCUCGCUUUCGUGUGGUGGCAGUGACCCUGGAGCGAGAGCAGAGCAGAUCAAUGCGUGUGGCCGUGUGGGCGAGACUGGGGUCGACGGGAAGCUCGUGGAGUGGGGAAUCCGAUGGUGUGGUAAGCGCGAGGAGGGGAUUUGGGUUUCUCUCUGAGACAAGCAAGCUCGUCAUCCGUCCAUGGCGGCAGGAGCGAGGGAGGGUGCGUGGAGUGGGAGAGUGUUGGGGUUUGGGGGUGGAACGAAGCGGAAGGGUGGGGAAGAAACCUCUUUGACUGAUUCGGCUCUGUAUAUCCCGCCGCCGCCGACGGCUUUUAGGGUGCGUUUGGGAGCCAAAGUAUUUUUGUAAGAAUACUAUGGUUUUUGAAAAAAUCUUGGUAUUCAAUACUUUGAGUCGUUUGGAUGAAAAAAUACUAUAGUUUAAUAAAUCGUAGUAUCUUUAAAACGGUGGUAUUUUCAUAGUAUAUGAAAAAGAGGCCCAGACCUUUUUUAAAAAAACUGAGAAAUGUUGGCUGGGUUGUCUCUCUGUGUCCAUCUUCUUCUGGCCAUCGACGCAUGUGACACCUAGUGCCGGCUGAAAACACAUGUCAACUUGCAGUGCAUGUCGUAACUAGCUCUGUCUUUGAUUGAUUACAAGAGAUAACUCUAAUCCUUCCUAGCAUCUACUAGGAGAGAACAUGCCCGUAUAAAGCUACGGUGGCGAUUAGCACAAGCUGAUCGAUGAGUGUAAUUGCGUAUGCAUGCAACAAACGUAACAAUCUGUGCAAACCAAAGAAAAUUGAAAAAAGCUGCCAGUUGCCAAACACCUCGGCGGUAUUAUCGAAAUUGAGAAAAUCUAUGUUUUUCAUAAACUUGAGUAUUUGUUGCCCAUCUAUUGAAAUACUGAGGUUCUGAAAUACUAUGGUUUUAAAAAAAUGGUGAUGCCAAACUAGGCCUUAGCCUCUUUUUGGUUUGUAGGAUAGGAAUUUUAUAGCAAUGGAAAAAUCAUAUGAAGUGAGAUUGAUACCUGUAGAGAAAGAAAUGUCAUUUGAUGUAUAUGAUAGGAUUUUUUUUCAUUGAGUCUAGGCUAAUGUUUUUUCUUCAAAAUAUGAAGGAUUGAUUUCUAUUCUACAUAGGAAUAGGAAUCCAUUUCUACAAACCAAAGGGCUUCAAAGGAAUUUUUUCUUUGCAAAUCCUAUUCCAUAGAAUUCUUACAAAAAUCCUACAGACUAAAAGAGGCCUUAACGUUUUCAGAUUGUUUUCUUGAGGGGCACGUUUUCAGAUUUUUUUUAGGGGGGCGGAACAAAGGCGCUAUAUUUUUCUCGGCCCGUAAAAAAAUAUACAAUGACCGGAAGAAUGCACAAAUCAAGCAACAACAUUAUUGUUGUGAAGAUCAUUGUCACCAUCACCAGCCAUAGCAACUCGAUCAUCAUCUUCAUCCACAUUGACUGAAGAAUGAGCAUCAUCAUCUUCACUGGCUGAAGCAACAACAUGAACUUCAUUUGCCGAAGGACCACCACCACCAUUGCCAAAAGCUUCACCACCUCCACCUCCACCUCCACCUCAAUUGCCGAAAGCUCCACUACCUCCAAAAACCUCACCACCACCAUCAUCAAUGUCGAAGCCAACACCACNNNNNNNNNNNNNNNNNNNNNNNNNNNNNNNNNNNNNNNNNNNNNNNNNNNNNNNNNNNNNNNNNNNNNNNNNNNNNNNNNNNNNNNNNNNNNNNNNNNNNNNNNNNNNNNNNNNNNNNNNNNNNNNNNNNNNNNNNNNNNNNNNNNNNNNNNNNNNNNNNNNNNNNNNNNNNNNNNNNNNNNNNNNNNNNNNNNNNNNNNNNNNNNNNNNNNNNNNNNNNNNNNNNNNNNNNNNNNNNNNNNNNNNNNNNNNNNNNNNNNGAAGCCACCACCAGCUCCAACACCUCACCAAUAUUGCUGAAACCACCAUCACUCGCCAUAAGAUUUUUAAGCUCCAUAUUCCUCGAUCUGUUGCCAAUACUUCAUUGUGCUUUGAUCUUUGUCGGUCACCGCAUCAAGUGGCACACUCUCCCAUGAUUGAAUCAAACAAACAUCCCUACCAUUGUGUAGUUGUCUGUCCUUUUCCCUAUUUUGUCUUGGCUAGCAUCGAACCCAACCUCCUCAAGCUCAUCUACUUCAUCACCACCGACAUUCCCUUGUUCCAGCUCGGCUUCGACCUCUACUUGAUUUGUCGAAUCGAAUUUGUCAGGCGGAGCACUCAAGUCCACCGCAUUCUCCUCCAACAUUUUCGAUAUAUGCUGAGUGAAUGGUUUUGGCUAUGAAAUUCAAUGGCCGAAACAUAAGGAAAAUGAUCCAAAGUCGAACCAAAGAUCACCGGAGCAAAGGAAUUAUUUUACUUCUCGGACGUUUCAUCGAACAUGCUGUACACAUGGGCGGUGGAGUGGACGGGAGCGGGGAGGACAUGGCCGAUUGGAGAGGGUGGACGAGGAGCCCAGUCUCGAGCCGUAGCCGCCUUCUUCCUUGGUCCCUUUGAUUGCAACUUCGCCCGCGCACCGAAGGGGCCAGAGGAGGCACUCUUCCUCGAGCCGGCAACUGCGACGAGAAGGAGCACAAUGGCGUUGGGAGAAGGCGGCACGACGGCGGGCACGCGUCCUUGCAAGAGGUGAUUCCCCUGCCGCUUUCGCUUGGAGCCGAUAGAGGAAGGUGUUGGUGCUGUGGCGGCAUGCAUGGCCGCGGGAGGGGCGAAAGGCCGGAGUGGCACCGUUGGGUCCCGGUGGCUGUGGGUACUCCAUAGCGGCGGUUGGCGGCGUGACAAGGUGAGACAACGAGGGCCCAACGGGAUUAGCGGCGGCGAGUGGAAGCGAGAAUGGAACGGGCGAAAGUUUCCUUCGCGGCAACGAACGGGUAGGAUAGAGGAACUGGUAAACGAAGGGGACAAAACCGUAAAUAUGGCAGACAGGGGCCAAAACUUACAGGAUCCGACAAGAAACCUCUACUCCUAAUGGACGAAUUGGUUGAAUAGUCCCCCCCACUUUCAACCGGUUUAUUUUCAACCGGUUUAUUUUCAACCGGUUUUUCUUCGUCCCACCUCCCACCAGCCCCUCCCAUCGGUUUUUCUCUUUUCUCGUCUGACCGGCAAUACCCAACGUAUUUAUGGUAAUCAAUCAUAAUUAAUCCACGUAUAGUAAUAAAUCAAUCCAGGUAUGGUAAGGUCAUAACUUAGGAAAUUUUGAAUAUGGCAAUUAUAUGGUAAUAAAUUUAAAUUACCCCAAAGGCUAUCAAUCCAGAUAUGGUAAGGCCAUAACUCGGGAAAUAUCGAAUAUGGUAAUAAAUUUAAAUUACCACCAGGUAUGGUAAGGCUAUCCACGUAUAGUAAUAAAUCAUAUAGUAAUAAAUCAUAAUUAAUCCACGUAUAGUAAUAAAUCAAUCCAGGUAUGGUAAGGUCAUAACUCAGGAAAUUUUGAAUAUGGUAAUAAAUUUAAAUUACCCCAAAGGCUAUCAAUCCAGGUAUGGUAAGGCCANNNNNNNNNNNNNNNNNNNNNNNNNNNNNNNNNNNNNNNNNNNNNNNNNNNNNNNNNNNNNNNNNNGAAUAUGGUAAUAAAUUUAAAUUACCCCAAAGACUAUCAAUCCAGGUAUGGUAAGGCCAUAACUCGGGAAAUAUCGAAUAUGGUAAUAAAUUUAAAUUACCACUAGGUAUGGUAAGGGUAUCCACGUAUAGUAAUAAAUCAUAUAGUAAUAAAUCAUAAUUAAUCCACGUAUAGUAAUAAAUCAAUCCAGGUAUGGUAAGGUCAUAACUCAGUAAAUUUUGAAUAUGGUAAUAAAUUUAAAUUACCCCAAAGGCUACCAAUCCAGGUAUGGUAAGGCCAUAACUCGGGAAAUAUCGAAUAUGGUAAUAAAUCAGCGAUCCGUCCGCAUUACUAGCUCAUCCGAUAAAUCAGCGAUCGAGUAAUUAAACCGUGCAGUAAUUAGUUCCGUAUAUGAAAGGAACCGCCGGAGUAUUCCAUAGAUUAGCCACAGGAUUUUGGCAAUCUCGCUGUGGCAUCUCGGAUUUCGGAAAUCACGUGCCCGCAGACGCCGCCGUGCCCCCCCUGCAACCACCGCCGGAGUCGGAGGCGAACGCGAUCGCAAUCGCGACGUGUAUAUAUAUACAAGGACGUACUACGUGCACAAGGGCCUGCAAGCAAACCCCAGUGCUCCUGAUCACCAUGCAUUUCUUCCAGGUCGUCAUGGCGUGGAUGUUCCCGUGCGCCGUGUGGGCGGCGAUGGCGCCGGCCGUGGCGACGGCAGCGACCACGGACGGCGCUUCGAGCGUUGAGCAGGGCAGCUCCUCGUCGCCGGCGUUCGGCCCUGGCGACGCUAAGGUGGCCUCCAACCCGGGCUCCUCCCCGGCGUCGAGGUCGUCCACCUCCUCCUCCUUGCUCGGCGCCCGAAGCAGCUCGUCGAACAGCGCGCGCUCACCGGUGAGGGAGGGCGGUGACACGGCCGCACGGAAGGGCCACGCGCUAAGGCGGUGCUCCUGAUCACCAUGCAUUUCUUCCAGGACGUCAUGGCGUGGAUGUUCCCGUGCGCCGUGUGGGCGGCGAUGGCGUCGGCCGUGGCGACGGCAGCGACCACGAACGGCGCUUCGAGCGUUGAGAAGGGCAGCUCCUCGUCGCCGGCGUUCGGCCCUGGCGACGCUAAGGUGGCCUCCGACCCGGGCUCCUCCCCGGCGUCGAGGUCGUCCCCCUCCUCCUUCUUGCUCGGCGCCCGAAGCAGCUCGUCGAACAGCGCGCGCUCACCGGUGAGGGAGGGCGGUGACACAGCCGCACGGAAGGGCCACGCGCUAAGGCGGUGCCUGCGCAGGUUUGCCAGAAAUCUGCAGCGCGCCGGUGCUGCGGACGAGCGGCCAGACGGGCGCGGGAGACGGAAGGGCCGGGCGACGAAGCCGGACGGGAGGGUCGCCGCCGGCGAGGACGGCACCGCCCGGGCGAGGGAGGAGGCCGUCGCGAGCGCGAUCGCCUACUGCAAGGAGUCGAGCCGGCAGCGCUGCAGGCCGCCGUUGGCUCCCUCGCCUAGCUUGGGCGGCUGGCUCCUCGUUCGUCCAGAGGAGGAGAUCGGCACCAGCGCCACGAGCGCCGUCUCGCCCUGCGAAUGCGAGGCGCAGGGCACCUCGAGCGCCGCCGCCCCCCACCACGGCCACGCGGCCUGCGACGGUACGUGUUGUCAACCGAUCCGUCGGUCGAUCUGCUUUGCUGCACCCGUGCACGUCUGAACCGUCGUUGAUCUCCUUCGUGCAGCAGAAUGCGGCGGCGGCAGGCCGUCGACGGUGGAAACUCGGCGAGGUCCAGCCGGGGAGAUGGAAAAGGGUGACGCUGUCGACGGGCUUGACGGGGACGUCCUUAGGAUAACGAGUUACUUCGCCGCCAAAUAUGUGCGCGCGGUGCGCCAUUGAAGAAUAGCUCGGGGUCCGUCUCACAUGAGGCGAAGCAAACAGUUUUUCGUAAUCUAGAGGACCUUGUCUUACGUACCUUCGAUCUUGUAUGAUCUGUCCAUAUCAGUGUGCGAGUAGUAGUAAUAUGAUUGUAGUAAGAGCUGUCCAUAUCAAUUGUCGAUCUUAUUCUUAUAUGAUAUGAUGGCUUGCAGCGUUCCUAAGAUCUAACGAGAAUCUCCUGGAGUUAACGACACAAUCGUUCGAUUGUUUCUGAAUCAGACUGCAAUUUUGAAGCUUAAUUGGCAAAGGAGUUAAGAUAUAGACAAUCCUAUUUAUUCGAACUAGCUUUGCUGAAUCGAAAGAAAAGAGACAACUUGGAUUCAAUCAAAAGAAAUUAGAAGAUUUUAGUACUGGCAUGUAUUCACCUCAAUCAAAAGAAACUAGGUCACCACUAUAUGCUCUGUUUGUACUCUACACAUGAGGAAUAUAUUCACCUUUAACUUCUUUUUUUGCGGAAAUAAGACUUUCAUUCAUCAACCACGGUUAUUACACUCCAGAUUUUACAUAGAGCGUGAAUUCCAUCCGGUGCAUGCCCAUGCACGUUGAAUUAUCAAAUGAGUAUAAAGUUGGUCUUUUUUUUAACUACUACACUCCAGAUUCUCGAGCAUGGAGAUAGGCGAGUUGUAGACCAAGAGCUGGUACAGAUAUAGGCGAGUUGUAGACAAGAGCUGGUGGGCAGCAAGAAACGCAUGCACACCAAAGAACAAAUCUGAGUCACAUGCCUACUUCUAUUGGUUUCUACAAAGAGCGGCUAGCUUAGAUCUUAGACCAGUCGGUCACUGUCGAGGUCGCCAAGGUGAUCUUACAGCACCGCCGUGGGGAUUUCUCAUAUGAUUUUAUGUAGGCAAGCCGCAAGCGGUGGUGGUGAUUGGCUGGGUGGUGUCGCUGCCUUGGGAAGAGACGAAGUGAUGGUAAAAGUAAGCAGGAUCCGAUGAUUCUUCCGUGGGGAUAGCCAAAGUCAAGAUGUCGACUACAGACUCGUCGCAGACUUGCAGUGAACCUGGAUGCGGCGAGCCUGAUUUGUGGAUUGAUGGCGGGUCUUGACUUUGUUAGGCUGGGAUUGGAUGGUUGCGGAGGGUGGUGUGCUUGGUUGGGUUCCCAUGAAAGAAUGUGGCCUCCUCGUGGAUCUGGUCAUGCCCAUCCUAGAGAACAUUGUGUCCCUAGCUCCCUCGAGGAGCAAGGACAAUGCAAGCGACAGCAGGGGGGAAAGGUAGAUGUGGGGAGGGAUGUCGGCGGCUGCUCGAGGUCAUCAUGAUGAAACCCUUGACGUCCCAUCUUUAUCAAUGGAAGUGGAAGAGCACGAAGUCGAGAUUGGAUAGGAGUUUGAGUUCUUUUUGGCACCGAUCGAUUCCCCACUUUAGAGAUGUAUUUUUUUUUGCGUGCGAGCAAACAGUGGGUUGAUUCUAAAAGGGAUAGGCACUUUUCAACAGAAGUGCAUGACGGACCAAAAAUAUGACCUCAUUUUAUUCGUUUGAUAGAUAUCGUAUUAUUCGUUGUUGUUUGUUCGGUGAAAUUUCCUAAUAUUUGAUUGUUGUGUUUCUAAUUAGAGCACCCCAUAAUCACCUAAUAUAAGGGGAUGACAAAUGAAAGAUACUGAUUAUAAAUUUUGAAGAGCCCGUGGCAACGCACGGGCGUUAUACUAGUUUUUAUAGUGGACGACCAAAUAUAGUGAAUCUGCGCGGGGCAAAAAAUCAUUCUGGUCCUUUAUAUUGGCAGUUAUUAUAGCGGACAGGCGGAUUUAGCGGACCUGCUAGAGUUGCUCUUACCAUGUCUUCUUGUUCUUUCUUUCUUGCCAUCUGAAGUUGACUGAUUUACCCUUGAUUCAUUGUGACCCGACCUGCCCAAUGGGCCGGCAUGGCCCACCCUUAAAGGGGUCGGGCAUGGCACGACACGCCAGGCCCGUAUAUAAGCGGGCCGUGCCAGGCCGACACGCGUGCCUCGCCACUCCUUCCGGUGAUGUUGUUGAUCCCCUCUCUCUCUCUCCUUGCACUUUAACAGCGAGAGGAACCCGGUCCUCUCCUUUGUCGUCGUACACGGUGGUGCCUUAGUGCCAACGACAUAACCAUGCAGAAUAAGUCCCACCUCGGCCGCGAGACGAGUUUGUUAGGUUUAUCUUCUGUUGUUCCUCUUGGGCGGCGAAUGUAGGGUAAUCGGCGCCUUGGUGGAGUUUGUGAAGAUUGCUUCAGGAGCAUCGUCAAUGGUUGCCGCCCCCGGUGGACAUGCCACACGCACACUGUAUCAACUAAACAACUUGUAGCAAUGUAUAAUCUCACCCUAAUUAGUAGCACUAACAGUCUGCUUCCCAUUACACACACAUCCAUUUCUCUUACUGUACACAUCCAUUCGUACUGAACGGGAAGAGACACCUUGCAAACGUUGGCUCAUCAGUCCGUCGGCGAGUGGACAAGCAAAGAACACUGACUACACACACGCCCAAAAAUAGAUAGCAGUCACGGGCCAAGCAUACUUUCAGAAUCCCUUCCUUCGAGCAGCUCAAAAAUCUACAGAACCAAACAGUCCAGGUUCGGGUUCAGAGCACAAGGGUCAGGAUCUACAUCAGCUGGUUGUCCACAGACGGGGUCGACAAAGAAAUGCAGCUCGACAUGUCUGUCUGCGACCGGAUCAAACUUGGAUGCCCACGCCUGCAUCGAUUUCACAACGCAUGCACAAUGAAAUUAUAUUCAGAUGGGACAUGAUUACACAUUCAUGACACACUCAGGCAUAGUGCUUGUUGUUCAUUAUUCUUGCUGUGCUGCUGUCAGCUAGAGCAAAUGGGUACAGAGUUUCAGAUUUUAGGCUUUUAGCUAAGUAACCAUCAUCAUUAUUCUGUGAGCCUAGCCUAGCUUGAGCUUCUGGUUUUGCAAUGCAGUUUGUAAAGAUAACCAAGAUGAGAGAUCCCAUCUUCCAGAGCCAUUAUUUACAAAACUGAAGGUAUGACUGAGUAAUUCAGUUUCAGAGGAAUUAUUUUUAGAGCCCCAAGAAAGUUAUCACAGCAGGUUCUAGGGUAUGGAACUAUAGAUGAUCCAGUAAUUUACUGUGAUCCUGUUAGUCUCUUAGUAUUGUCUGAUCCUCGAUAAAAAGAAAGUUCCCCUUCAAAAUCCAUCCAAACAGAAUUUACCAACACCCAAAUCCAUAAAAAAAGUAUGUACCAUGUAUUAAAAAAUUGUUCAUCUUGUAUUGAAAAAUAUUCACAUGUUCUAGAAAAAUGUUCAUAAUAUAAUUUCCAAAUGUUUAUCGUCUACAUGAAAAAUGUUCUCUAUGUGUUUAAAAAACAUGCUCACUAUGAAUCUCACAACAUGUAAUUGAAAUGUGUUCAAUGUGUAUCUAAAAGUUGUUCAAUAUGCUUUAAAAAAAUUCAAUAUGUAUUAACAAAAUUUCAACAUGUAUUUUAAAAUGGUAAAUGAAAAAGGAAACCAGGAGAAGAAAAAUCAAAAUUGAAAAAUGAAAAUAGAAAAUUUUAAAAUAAAGAUAAACAUAACAACCGAAAGAAAAUAAAACGAUAACACAUAAAUGUGAAAAGAAGAAAAACCGACUGGAACCUUCCAAAAACCGGACGGAAGGUUCCCAAAACCCACCACUCGUUACACCGGCCGAAAUAGAUAUGCGAGUAGUCUAUUAGUCUUGCAAUAAGCUAGAUAUAGCUCUUACGAUGCUAUGCCAUGCAAAAGCUAUUUAUCGCUUACUGUCACGACACGUUAGCGCUCGCCUCAAGGCCGACGGGACAAGGGCCGACACAGAAGUAGAUGAACAGAACCGGUUUCUACGGAUUUUUUUCAGGUUUUGUGUAUGGUUUCUCUAAUCUGGUUUUUGGUCUGAUUUUUAUUCUUCUUUUUUUUCUGUUUUCUAAUUUUAUUUAUGUUCUUCAUUUUCUAUUUCUCACUAUAAUUUUUCUUCAUGUUCUUUUCGUGUUUUUGUUUCUUUUAGUUUUCUAAUUUGAUUACAUAUAUUUUUAAAUAAAGAUGUUUUUGUAAAAUGAGAUGAAACUUUUUAAUGUUUUUUCUUUGCCUUUUCAUACCUAUUUUUUAUUUUUUAUUUUUUCCCUCCUUUUAUCAUUAUUUUUUAAAAAUAUGCAUAGUGCUUUUCAGAAACAGAAUUAUCACGCAUUUUUAAAAAAUGAUCAAUGAAUAUUUUGAAAAAUGCCAUCAUGUAUUUAAAAAUUGUUCAUCAUGUAUUUGAAAACAUUCUAAGUGUAUUUAAAAAUAUUUUUCAUUUUGUAUAAAAAAUUUCAUCAUGCAUUUUAAAAUAUUCAGCCUAUAUUAAAAAAAUGGUUCAAGGUGUAUUUAAAAAUCUUCAUCGCAUUUAUUAAAAAAUGAUCAUCAUUUAUUUAAAAAAAUUAUUGGCAUGGUUUUAAAAUAUGUUUAUCAUGAAUUAAAAAAAUGUACAUCAUGCAUUUAAAAAUAUUUCCACCAUGUAUAAGGAAUUUUUCAGUUUUUGAAAAGGUUCUUUGUGAAUUUAAUUAAUGUCAUCGCUCAUUUAAAUAAAUCUUCAGGUUGUAAUUAAAAACUGAUCAUCAUGUUUAAAAAUACGCAUUGUGUAUUUAAAAAUAUUUUUCAUCAUGUACAAAAAAAUCAUCAUAUUUUUAGAAAAGGUUUAGUGUACAUUUGAAAAAUGUUCAUCAUGUAUUUAAAAGUUGUCAUUUAUUACUUAAGAAUAUAUCCAUCGAGUUUAAACAUAUUAUUCAUCAUUUAUUUGAAAAAUGUUCAGUGGAUAUUUUAAAAAAUGUUCAUCGUGUUUCAAAAAAAUUCCUGUUGAUUUGCGAAAAGUUCAUCGUUUUUUUUUAAAUGUGAACGUCGGCUAAAAAAGUUGACCCUGACAAGAACUUCCGUCCAUGGCCAUCGCCUCCAUGGAGGUGUUCUAUUCCUGAAGCUAACCGAGGUCGGUAGGGGGGAAUUUUCAAAUUGAUCUGCCUACAAUGAACACACUUUACGUUAUGUUAGGUGCUUAUCCCUUUACCCCUAUCCCUAUAAUAAAGGGGGUGUUCACACUAAAAAACUCUUCAUCAUGACUUGAUGCCUACGUCGACUACAAUCGUACAGGUAAUAUGUUAACCAAUUUACCAACGUUUCAUCUGGAAUUCCAGAUGAAUGGGCUCCCCCCUUGAUAAAUUGCAACAUUUUGCCAAGCAACUAUACUUUGCAUGUACAUGCUGAAUAGCUGAUAAUAGUAACUAACAUGCGGUAGUUAUAUCAUUAUGCAUAGGAGCUCAGUACUCGUGGUUAGAGAAGGAUCUGCAGAAAGCUGAACUGACGAGUCAUGUCGCUUCUUGGCACUCGCCCUGGUAUAACUGUUCCUCACACUACCAGGAAUUUGAGUGCAUGAGGCAAGAAAUAGAAGGACUCCUCUACCAAUAUAUGGGGUCGACAUUGUCUUCUCAGGACAUUGUUUGGUAAAUGGUUUGAUUCAGACUAAAUUCCUUCGAUUUCUUUGGUUUCUUUUCCUCCAUCUCGAUUAAUCAAUCCUACUCCCCUCAGCUCCUGCUGUUAAUACCUUUUUCUUUUCUUUUGGAACAAGUCUAGUUUAUUUGAUUGCUCAAGGUACACGCAUACAAAAGGAUGAACCGGGUGUGCAAGCACACGAUCCGUGCGGGCCGGUUUACAUUACGAUCAGGGAUGUCGGUAACACUGAGAAAAUCGACAGUGAUCAGGCAGAUGACCUUGGAAAAUGCCCCUCGCCAGGUGACAACCACCCUGAAUUUGGUGGAGUCUGCCAUCUGAACUUCACGACUUACCGGAUUCUGGUCCUGGUCCUGCCAUGGGGAGAUUUUGCUGGGAACGACAGCCGGAAUGGAGGGCAUUCAGGGGAAGCAGUUUCGGGCAUGGCAUUUUAGAUGCAAUUAAAUCACUUCACCUUCUCCUCCUCCUCGCCCGAUGUGUGUGACCUGGAAGGGAAUGUGUUACGUGUAUGUUUUUCACACAAGAGAUCAUACAGGUUGUGAAUUCGACAUGUGCCUUGUGGACAUGGCACCAGAACCGGGAUACAUAUGGAGAACACAAUGUGGGAGAUCAGAUCAAUAUAGUAAGUGCCUAUUGCAGCCAAAGGGUGUGAUUUCACAGGACUGGUGAUUCUGAAGUCUAUCUUCUUUAACUUUGUGUUUAUCACCCAUGUAGAUUCUCAAUGCCUCGGCGGGAUCCCCUCUCCAUUAAGUAACAUCUCAGGUGCUCAACAAGCUGCUAAAAUGGCUGUGCUCCUUUGGACAGCAUCAUUGAGAGCGUCUUUUUUGGCGGGUACCACAGAGAAUUUUGUGUAAAAAAAAGGAGUUGUACACGACUAAAAAAAGAUAAUUCCGACUUACCGGAUUCGAACCAGUGACCUAAGGAUUUACCUGCACACACUACAGUCCUCCGCUCUACCAACUGAGCUAAAGUCGGAUUGUUAUUCUGAGAUGGCCAAAGUCUAGAGAACAUUGCCUCUGGGACUUGCGUCAUUUAGUGAGAUCUGAAAUGCAUCUCCACAAGUAAAACCAGCAAUGCUGGUAUAAUACUUGCAGUAAAACAAACAUCUGAACCAAAUACAUACACAGGCAACUUAACGUUAAAAAAAUAAUUGAACAUAUAUCACGCCCAACACCACCAUUAUAUAGCUUUCAACUCAAAUGAUAAAACUUAUAGAAAGAAUUCCUUAUUUAACACUUUUAAAUUUGCUUUCCCUAUUUGACCCCUUUAUAUCGUAGUUUCUUAUGCAGAGUUGUUUGCAUUGAUGUCUUUGUUGUAGUAUUUCUUAUUCUCUGAUUGGUUCUUCAUCCGUGGCUUAUCGUUGCCCACUAAGAGCACAUACAAAAUCAUCCUCCACAAAGAAGAUGAAACCCCAUUGAUAGGCUAGUCUGGGGCAGCAGAGUCCCUAACAAAGUUACAUUGCUCCCAAUAAUAUUUGCAUGCCUUGUGAUCACCAUGUGGAAGACCGUGACCACAUCUUCCUCCAUUGUCUACUCUCCGCAGGUAUUUGGAAAUUAAUAGACAUUCUCCAGGGAUAUCUAUCUCGACACUCUCUAGGACUUAUCGCAGUCCCUCAUCUAUAUGACCUAGUAUACCAUUUGAUUCUAUUCAUUUUCUUUGGAAAUUUUGGGAUGCUAGCAACGCGAAGGUUUUCGCAAUGAACACCAGCGCCACUCCCUCACUCUCAAGAUGAUUAUUUAUAAUCUCAUCAUAUGGUCACUUGUCUUUCAAAAACCGAGCAACAAGGUGGUUGCCUCCACAUGUGCCAAUACCCCAGAAGUGCAAAUCCUAGCUUUUAAGUCGGACCACAGAGAUGAUUCAUGAAGGAAAAAUAGUACUCCCUCCAUUUUUAUUUACUCUGCAUAUUAGGUAUGAUUGAAGUCAAACUUCAUAAAGUUUGACUAAGUUUAUAGAAAAAAUAUGAACAUAUACAAUAGCAAAUCUGUAUGAUGUGAAGUGUAUUCAAUAAUGAAGCUAAUGGUAUUGAUUUGUUAUUGUAUAUGUUAAUAUCUUUGUCUAUAAACUUUGACUUUGACUAAAGCUAAUAUGUGGAGUAAAUAAAAACGGAGGGAGUAUAUAAGUAAUGUCCACCUGCGACAAGUUUAGGGAACUAUAUUGAAAUAACCUGAUCCAACAAUAAAUUAUUGUAGUCGGUUGAAAAAUCAAAACCGCCUCAGAGAAUUCAUUGAGCCGGUCAAAAUUUCAAACUGACUAGGAUAAGUUUUCUAUAGUCGGUUGCUUUGUGGCAACCGACCAUAGUCAUUCUUGUUGGGGAACAUAGUGAUAAUUCAAAUAAUUUCCUACGUGUCACCAAGAUCAAUCUAGGAGAUCGUAGCAACGAGAGAGAGGGAGUGCAUCUUCAUACCCUUGAAGAUCGCUAAGCGGAAGCGUUACAAGAACGCGGUUGAUGGAGUCGUACUCGCGGCGAUUCAAAUCGGGGAAGAUCCAAUCCAAGCGCCGAACGGAUGACGCCUCCGCAUUCAACAGACGUAUAGCCCGGGGACGUCUCCUCCUUCUUGAUCCAGCAGGGGGAGAGGAGAAGUUGAUGGAGAACUCCGGCAGCACGACGACGUGGUGGUGGAGCUCGUGGUUCUCCGGCAGAGCUUCGCUAAGCACUACGGAGGAGGAGGAGUUGGAGGGGGGAGGGCUGCGCCAGGGGAAGGGUGCGGCUGCCCUCCCACCCCCUCACUAUAUAUAGGGGGAAGGGGAGAGGGGCCCGGUCCCCUUAGAUGCAUCUAGAGGGGGAGGGACGACCAAGGGGGGAGACUUGCCCCCAAGCAGGUGGGAGGCGCCCGCACCCCCUAGGGUUUCCAACCCUAGGCGCCUUGGGCCCUUGGGAGGGGGGCACCAGCCCACUAAGGGGCUGGUCCCCACCCAUAUUCAGCCCACUAAGCCCUAUGGGGCAGGUGGCCCUACCCGGUGGACCCCCGGACACCUUUCGAUGGUCCCGGUACAAUACCGAUAACCCCCGAAACUUUGUGGCGACUGAAACUGGACUUUCCGUAUAUAAAUCUUCACCUUCGGACCAUUCCGGAACUCCUCAUGACGUCCAGGAUCUCAUCUGGGACUCCGAACAACUUUAGGUAACCACAUACAAUUUCCCAUUACAACUCUAGCGUCACCGAACCUUAAGUGUGUAGACCCUACGGGUUCGGGAACCAUGCAGACAUGACCGAGACACCUCUCCGGCCAAUAACCAACAGCGGGAUCUGGAUACCCAUAUUGGCUACCACAUGUUCCACGAUGAUCUCAUCGGAUGAACCACGAUGUCGGGGAUUCCAUCAAUCCCGUAUACAAUUCCCUUUGUCCAUCGGUAUGUUACUUGCCCAAGAUUCGAUCGUCGCUAUCCCCAUACCUCGUUCAAUCUCGUUACCGGCAAGUCUCUUUACUCGUUCCGUAACACAUGAUCCCGUGGCUAACUCCUUUAGUUACAUUGAGCUCAUUAUGAUGAUGCAUUACCGAGUGGGCCCAGAGAUACCUCUCCGUCAUACAGAGUGACAAAUCCCAGUCUCGAUUCAUGCCAACCCAACAGACACUUUCAGAGAUACCUAUAGUGCACCUUUAUAGUAACCCAGUUAUGUUGUGACGUUUGAUACACCCAAAGCAUUCCUACGGUAUCCGGGAGUUGCACAAUCUCAUGGUCUAAGGAAAUCAUACUUGACAUUAGAGAAGCUCUAGCAAACGAACUACACGAUCUUGUGCUAUUCUUAGGAUUGGGUCUUGUCCAUCACAUCAUUCUCCUAAUGAUGUGAUCCCGUUAUCAACGACAUCCAAUGUCCAUGGUCAGGAAACCGCAACCAUCUAUUGAUCAACGAGCUAGUCAACUAGAGGCUCACUAGGGACAUGUUGUGAUCUAUGUAUUCACACAUGUAUUACGGUUUCCAGUUAAUACAAUUAUAGCAUGAACAAUAGACAAUUGUCAUGAACAAGGAAAUAUAAUAAUAACCAUUUUAUUAUUGCCUCUAGGGCAUAUUUCCAACAAUUCUUAAGCAGUUCUGACAUUCCAACCAGCUGUAAUAAUACCACACCCAAAAGUCCCACCAAGUCCAUCCAUAUAAGUAUACUCUUUGAGCUCUAACCCACUCCUUCUACCCUCCUCUUUCUGUCGCUAUCGUGGUGGCAACACCCUCUUCCCACCGCCCACCACACAUCCGACCGUGCUCACCACCUGUUACUCGAUUUGACAAGUCUAGUUGUCCCUACGUGGAUUUGGUUGCACUGGCCAUCUCCAUGUGUGGCUCUGACAUGGUUGAAGGUUGUUAGGAUCGAAUAUUUAAGGAUUGGAAGCAGGGUGAAUAGUCAUAUACAAAUAAAACCACACUUAUUUUAAAAGUUGGUUGUUUUAAGCAACAAGCUUCUAUGUUGGUCCUGGAGCACUUUAACAACAAAGCUAGAAAGAGCAUUGUGGAAGAAUAAGGUAACUUGCCAGAAAGUAAGAGUUAAGUUUACGGAAUGCAAACGCAAAUGGCUUGGCUUGUUUUCCCCAUGGUUUGAAUAGUUGGCGCUAUCCUACUCGACAUUGAUGGAGGCUAGCUUUGAACCAAAUGAUUCUAGGAUCACAAGGAUCUUAGCUAUGUUGCCCACCAAAGAGGCCUACCAAGGACAAGAUACCUAUUGUACCGUGGAGUGCAUCAAGAAGCCACACGAAGGGGUACAUCCUCAUGAAGUAGGAAAUCAUUGAGACCUCACAAACUCUUGAGUACUUCACAAUAUAGAUGAAACAUGUGUUGGGGAACGCAGUAAUUUCAAAAAAAAUUCCUACACACACGCAAGAUCCAUCUAGGUAAUGCAUAGCAACGAGCGGGGAAGAGUGUUGUCUAUGUACCCUCGUAGACCAUAAGCGGAAGCGUUAUGACAACACAGUUGAUGUAGUCGUACAUAUUCACGAUCCGACCGAUGCUAGCACCGAAGGUACGACACCUCCGGGAUCUGCACACGUUCAGCUCGGUGACAUCCCGCGAAGUCUAGAUCUAGCUGAGUGUCAAGGGAGAGUUUUGUUAGCACGCCGGCGUGAUGACGGUGAUGAUGAAGCUACCGGAACAGGGCUUCGCCUAAGCACUGCAACAAUAUGACCGAGGUGGAUUAUGAUGGAGGGGGGCACCUGAUACGUCUCCAACGUAUCUAUAAUUUUUGAUUGCUCCAUGCUAUAGUAUCUACUGUUUUGGACAUUAUUGGGCUUUAUUAUCCACUUUUAUAUUAUUUUUGGGACUAACCUAUUAACCGGAGGCCCAACCCAGAAUUGCUGUAUUUUGCCUGUUUUAGGUUUCGAAGAAAAGGAAUAUCAAACGGAGUCCAAACGGAAUAAAACCUUCGGGAGCGUGAUUUUCUCAAUGAAUACAACUCAGGAGACUUGGACCCUACGCCAAGCCAAUUAACAGGAGGCCACGAGGUAGGGGGGCGCGCCUGCCCCCCCAAGCACGCCCUCCACCCUCGUGGGCCCCCUGUUGCUCCACCGACGUACUUCUUCCUCCUAUAUAUAUAUAUAUAUAUCCACGUACCCCCAAACGAUCAGAACAGGAGCCAAAACCCUAAUUCCAUCGCCGUAACUUUCUGUAUCCACGAGAUCCCAUCUUGGGGCCUGUUCCGGAGCUCCACCGGAGGGGGCAUCAAUCACGGAGGGCUUCUACAUCAACACCAUAGCCUCUCCGAUGAAGUGUGAGUAGUUUACUUCAGACCUACGGGUCCAUAGUUAGUAGCUAGAUGGCUUCUUCUCUCUUUUUGGAUCUCAAUACAAUGUUCUCCCCCCUCUCUUGUGGAGAUCUAUUCGAUGUAAUCUUAUUUUUGUGGUGUGUUUGUUGAGACCGAUGAAUUGUGGGUUUAUGAUCAAGUCUAUCUAUGAAUAAUAUUUGAAUCUUCUCUGAAUUCUUUUAUGUAUGAUUGGUUAUCUUUGCAAGUCUCUUCGAAUUAUCAGUUUGGUUUGGCCUACUAGAUUGAUCUUUCUUGCAAUGGGAGAAGUGCUUAGCUCUGGGUUCAAUCUUGCGGCGUCCUUUCCUGGUGACAAGGGCAGCAAGGCACUUAUUGUAUUGUUGUCAUCGAGGAUAACACGAUGGGGUUUUCUUCAUAUUGCAUGAGUCUAUCCCUCUACAUCAUGUCAUCUUGCUUAAGGCGUUACUCUGUUUUUAACUUAAUACUCUAGAUGCAUGUUGGAUAGCGGUCGAUGAGUGGAGUAAUAGUAGUAGAUGCAGGCAGGAGUCGGUCUACUUGUCUCGGACGUGAUGCCUAUAUACAUGAUAAUACCUAGAUAUUCUCAUAACUAUGCUCAAUUCUGUCAAUUGCUCAACAGUAAUUUGUUCACCCACUGUAGAAUACUUAUGCUCUCGAGAGAAGCCACUAGUGAAACCUAUGGCCCCCGGGUUUAUCUUUAUCAUAUCAAUCUCCUACUACUUAGUUAUUUACUUUGCUAUUUACUUUGCCUUUAUUUUACUUUGCAUCUUUAUCAUAAAAAUACCAAAAAUAUUAUCUUUAUCAUAUCUAUCAGAUCUCACUCUCGUAAGUGGCCCUAUAGGGAUUGACAACCCCUGUUUGUGUUGGUUGCGAGGAUUCAUUUGUUUUGUGCAGGUACGAGGGACUCGCGCGUAGCCUCCUACUGGAUUGAUACAUUGGUUCUCAAAAACUGAGGGAAAUACUUAUGCUACUUUGCUGCAUCAUCCCUUCCUCUUCGAGGAAAACCAACGCAGUGCUAAAAGAGGUAGCAAGAAGGAUUUCUGGCGCCGUUGCCGGGAAGGUCUACGCAAAAGUCAACAUACCAAGUACCCAUCACAUACCCUUAUCUCCCGCAUUACAUUAUUUGCCAUUUGCCUCUCGUUUUCCUCUCCCCCACUUCACCCUUGCCAUUUUAUUUGCCCUCUCUCUCUCUCUAUCCUCCCUCUCUUUCUCUAUUUGCCCCUUUUUGUCCGCUUGCUUUUUGUUUGCUUGUAUGUUAGUUUGCUUGUUUGUCGUGAUGGCUCUACCUAAAUUUGGUGACCUUCACCUUAAAAGGUUAGAAGAAAUCGAAAAUAAUGUUAGGAGUUUCAUGGUUUUGCAAUUUGAACAUAAUAGUUUCUUCAGAAACAAGCUUAAAGAACAGAAAAGUUUUAUGAGUUUUAUGAAUAAAGAGCUUCAUGAUAUGUCUAAAGAAUUCGAUGGUUUAAGAUCCCAACUUGCUCAUCUUGAGAAAUUAACUGCUGAAAUUUCGGAUAAGCAGGCUACCCUAGUUAAUAAGAUGGCCGCUAAACCGAGUUGCUAUGAAAAUAAUGAUGAAGAUCUAAAAGUUAUUGAUGUGUCCCCUAUUAAAUCUUUGUUUUGCAAUAUGAAUCUUGAUAAUGAUGGGACUGAAUAUAACCCACCUUUACCUAGAAGGCUUUCCAAGAAUUCUGAAUCUCUUGAUCUUGAUGCUAAAUUUGAUAAAAGUGGGAUUGAAGAAAUUAAAACCCUAGAUGUUGCUAAACCCACUAUUAUGGAUUUCAAGGAAUUUAACUAUGAAAAUUGCUCUUUGAUUGAUUGUAUUUCCUUGUUGCAAUCUGUGCUAAAUUCUCCUCACGCUUAUAGUCAAAAUAAAGCGUUUACUAAACAUAUCGUUGAUGCAUUGAUGCAAUCUUAUGAAGAAAAACUUGAAUUGGAAGUUUCUAUCCCUAGAAAACUUUACGAUGAGUGGGAACCAACUAUUAAAAUUAAAAUUAAAGAUCAUGAAUGCUAUGCUUUAUGUGAUUUGGAUGCUAGUGUUUCCAUGAUUCCAAAGGCUUUGUGUGAUUUGUUAGGUUUACGUGAUUUUGAUGAUUGCUCUCUAAACUUGCACCUUGCGGAUUCCACUAUUAAGAAACCUAUGGGAAGAAUUAAUGAUGUUCUUAUUGUUGCAAAUAGGAAUUAUGUGCCCGUAGAUUUUAUUGUUCUUGACAUAGAUUGCAAUCCUUCAUGUCCUAUUAUUCUUGGUAGACCUUUCCUUAGAAUGAUUGGUGCAAUUAUUGAUAUGAAGGAAGGAAAUAUUAGAUUUCAAUUUCCAUUAAGGAAAGGCAUGGGACACUUUCCUAGAAAGAAAAUUAAAUUACCUUAUGAAUCUAUUAUGAGAGCCACUUAUGGAUUGCCUACCAAAGAUGGCAAUACCUAGAUCUAUUCUUGCUUGUUAUGCCUAGCUAGGGCGUUAAACGAUAGCGCUUGUUGGGAGGCAACCCAAUUUUAUUUUUAUUCCUUGCUUUUUGCUCCUGUUUAGUAAUAAAUAAAUGAUUUAGCCUCUGUUUUGGUUGUGUUUUUUGUGUUUAAUUAGUGUUUGUGUCAAGUAGAACCGUUGGGAAGACUUGGGGAAAGUCUUGUUGAACUUGCUGUAAAAAAACAGAAACUUUAGCGCUCACGUGAACUGCUGUCAUUUUUAUUUGGAAAGUUAUAUUUAGUUAUUUCUUUUUGCAGAUGAUUAAUAGAUAAAUUACUCACGUCCAGCAAUUUAUUUUAGAAUUUUUGGGGUUUUAUAUAUUGCUCUAGCUACAGAUUACUACAGACUGUUCUGUUUUUGACAGAUUCUGUUUUUCGUGUGUUGUUUGCUUGUAAUAGCACCCGAGGUACCCUAACUUGCAUAGAAUGUGAUGAUUUAGUCCCAAACUUGCAAAAUUUGUCUCCACCAUACCCCAGCUUGCACUAGAUGUGGUGAUUUAGUCCCCGGCCUAUCACAGCUCAACAAGUGGCAGCCAGGUGGCCUGACCGGUCUUCGUCCACACUUUUGCAGGAAACACCCUGCGGUCUUCUCUAAUUAACCUACAGUACUGGAUGUUAAGAUGCAGUUAACAACAUAUCUCCCGGUGGCUGGUGCUGGGCCACCGGACCUGCCCGACCACGAUGCAGGAGCUUUGGGACGACCCGCUCACCCCCAACGCCACGCUCCGGCAGCUCAUCGCCACCUGGCUCUCCCGCCGGUACACCCUUCAAAAAGCACAAGGGCCAGGCAUCCGCUCAAGGGCCAGGCCCGUGUCGCCGCGCUCCGGGAGUUGCGCUCCCUCGCCUCCACCCACCAGUCUAUGACCAAGGCCAUAGCCAAGGCCGGCGGCGUGUUGUUGCUGACCUUGCUUCUUGGCCCCUUCACGUCUCAUUCGAUGGGAUCCGAGGCGGUGGCCAUUCUUGUGAGCGGCGUGCCGCUCGACGCCGAGGCAAAGGCGGCGCUGAUGCAGCCGGCAAAGGUGUCCCUCGUGGUGAACAUGCUGAAUGAGGGCACCGUCGACACCAAGAUCAACUGCGUCCACCUCAUCUGCAUCGUCAUGGAGGAGAAAGGCUGCCGGCCGGAGACGGUGGCGAGCCUGAGCUUCUUUAUCCAUCUACACCUGCACCUACCUAGUCAUCUCCGCCUUGCUCUAUCCAUCCAGAAUCCCCGUCGGCGACGGAGAUGCAGGCCGCCGUCGCCUUCAGCCAGAGCCAGCCGUCCCUUCUCGCUCGUCCGCUCCGGCGGCUCCCAAGGCCUUACCACGGGUACGUACGUAUCUGCGACGAUUCCUCUCGCCUCAAUUCCAUCUUUGCCUUUUUGAGCUAACCUGCAUCUGCAUGUGGUUGCGCAGCGGCGGGCCGGAGCUGGAGCGGGAUGAUGGUGUGCUGUUGUGUCAGGACUGAUCCAGGGAGGUGUCAUCAAGCUUCAGUUAUCCAACGGCUAGGAGGCCUCCUCGCUUUACCGCUUCAUCAGGAGCCGUUGAUUCUUAAUUGUACCAUUAUACAGUAAUCACUGUACCAUUUCACUUGUCGGUAACUAGCUACCUAUAAAUCCAGCCGGGUUGUGGCUGGCAAAACUAUCUCUCCAUUCUUCUAGACUCGCCAAGAUGGCUUGCGUUAUACUCCAACUCUAAAACAAUAGCAAAUAUCUCAGAUCUGAGACUUUCCCUAUACAAAUUCUCCUGAUUUCCUUGCUAAAAUUCGCAUAGGUGUAGUUCGGUCCUGACAUGCUGGUAGGUCUAGGUCUAGGACGACGACGCGUCUCGCUCCCGCGGCUGCGGCGCGCCUGUUGCUCCGCGAGCCUAUCCGUCGGUGCCGACGGCUACGGCAGCGAUAACAACACCCACCCACCCCCCUGCUCCACCUCAUGUUUGUGUCACCCCUGGCCUUGUGAUACCUUGCUUACUUUGCAAGCUAGACUAGGCUAGAGUGGGUACCUUUGCAGAUUUACUCCCUUCAGGCAAGGCUAAAAUUUUCAGAUCAGAUUAUAAAAGUUUUGGCAGUGCAAGGUAAGGGGAAUCAAUUACCACGCCAAGGGUAAAAGGAGCACCUAUAUAUGCGUCAGUUAACUGAAAUCAAAUUCAGUUACUAGGCCUAGCGCCGUCACCCCUGGCCAUCGCUGUUAAAUACCAAUGCGACAAUAAUAUUGUUUGGCGGUGCGAUAUUGUGAUGAGUCAGAGGAAUCACUUCUUAUCACUGUUUCAGUUCAUUCGCCUUCAUUGUAUCUGAACGGUUCUCAUUUUCAAGUGAAUUUGUUUCACUCCGAAGACCCAUUUCAUAUUCUUUUCUCCCAGUUACAUUGUCCUAUGCACAGUUACCCAUUGCUGUCUCGGGUCACAGUCUCAACUUUUCAGAGUUAUAUUUCUGCAGAACCUUCUAAACACGCGUCUCGAUCCCCUCUGCCCUCCGUGCUCAGCUGGUGUGUGUCUCUAUCCAUCUUUCCUUCAUGUUGUUUCCAUUUAUCAGUUCCUUUGUUUAUGAUCUACCGUGUUAUAACUUUGACCCUAUCCAUUAUGUUACUUAGUGUGCAGUUCUCUCUGAAACCAUGCUUUUUAUAUGCAACUCCUUGAUUUUGAAGACGACGCUUGUCGAAAUCCCUUUCGGAUUAGGUGGCAUUGACAUCAUGAUCCCUGACAUGAACUGAGAGGACAUAUUUGAUUACAGUUUGCUAUGCCGUACAAGUAAGAUCGCCAAGUAAUGCUGCGCUGGUGGCUGGUGCUUGGGAUUACUUUAGAAUUGUUGAGGGGUUUGCCAGUCGGAUGAUUUGACUGCGCCAACAUUAUAUCCUAAAGAUGUUCUAUAAUGAGUAUAUUUUACCCCUUGCAUAAAUCACUUUCUCAUUGUAGAUUGCCUGUAGGUAAUUAAUUGAUAUUGCAGGAAAAUAUGGAAGCUGGAAAGAAUUGAUGAGUAAGAAGUUAGCAAGGAACUAGGAAGGAACAAGUCCCAUUGGUAGGCCCGAAAGCACACUUUCAGCUUUGUCACUUAGCAGGAAGGCAAAGCACAUACACGCAGGAUCUCCUUAAUUAGAGAAGACCGCAGGGUGUUUCCUGCAAAAGUGCGGACGAAGACCAGUCAAGCCACCUGGCUACCAAUUGGCGAGCUGUGAUUGGCCUGGGACUAAAUCAUCACAUGAGGUGCAAGUUGGGGUAUGGUGGAGUCAAGUUUUGCAAGUUUGGGACCAAAUCGUCACAUUCUGUGCAAGUUAGGGUACCUGGGGUGCUAUUACCUCUAUUUUGAUGAAUCUAUGGCUAGUAAAAUAGUUUAUGAACCAUAGAGAAGUUGGAAUACAUUAGAUAUAACACCCAUAUAAAUAAAGAAUGAGUUCAUUACAGUACCUUGAAGUGGUCUUCUAUUUUCUUUCGCUAACGGAGCUCACGAGAUUUUCUACUUUAAGUUUGGUGUUGUGAAGUUUUCAAGUUUUGGGUAAAGGUUUGAUGGAUUAUGGAACAAGGAGUGGCAAGAUCCUAAGCUUGGGGAUGCCUAUGGCAUCCCCAAGAUAAUCUAAGGACACCUAAAAGCCAAAGCUUGGAGAUGCCCCGGAAGGCAUCCCCUCUUUCGUCUACUUCUAUCGGAAGACAAAUCCUAAUCUUGAUCUAUGCCAACUCAAUAAACACCAUCGGAGACACCUGUAGAGCAUCUUUAUAGUCACCCAGUUAUGUUGUGAUGUUUGAUAGCACACUAAGUGUUCCUCCGGUAUUCGGGAGUUGCAUAAUCUCAUAGUCAUAGGAACAUGUAUAAGUCAUGAAGAAAGCAAUAACAAUAAACUAAACGAUCAUAGUGGUAAGUUAACGGAUGGGUCAAGUCAAUAUUAUCAUUCUCUAAUGAUGUGAUCCCGUUAAUCAAAUGACAACUCAUGUCUAUGGUUAGGAAACAUAACCAUCUUUUAUUAACGAGCUAGUCAAGUAGAGGCAUACUAGUGACACUUUGUUUGUCUAUGUAUUCACACAUGUACUAAGUUUACGGUUAAUACAAUUCUAGAAUGAAUAAUAAACAUUUAUCAUGAUAUAAGGAAAUAUAAAUAACACUACUAUCAGCGUCUGUCUUCCUCUUGAAAAUCCAUUUAUUCUUAAUGGCUCACCGAUCAUCGGGCAAGUCAAUCAAAGUCCAUACUUUGUUCUAAUACAUGGAUCCCAUGUCAGAUUUCAUGGCUUCAAGACAUUUCAUGGAAUCUGGGCUCAUCAUCGCUUCGUCAUAGUUCGUAGGUUUGUCAUGGUCAAGUAACAUGACCUCCAGAAUAGGAUUACUGUACCACUCUGGUGCGGAACGUAUUCUGGUUGACCUACGAGGUUGGGUAGUAACUUGAUCUGAAGUUUCAUGAUCAUCAUCAUUAACUUCCUCACUAAUUGGCGUAGGAAUCACUAGAACUGAUUUCUGUGAUGAACUACUUUCCAAUUUGGGAGAAGGUACAAUUACCUCAUCAAGUUCUACAUUCCUCCCACUCACUUCUUUCGAGAGAAACUUCUUCUCUAGAAAGGGUCCAUUCUUAGCAACAAAUAUCUUGCCUUCGGAUCUGUGAUAGAAGGUGUACCCAACAGUUUCCUUUGGGUUUCCUAUGAAGACACAUUUCUCCGAUUUGGGUUUGAGCUUACCAGGUUGAAACUUUUUCACAUAAGCAUCAUAACCCCAAACUUUAAGAAACGACAGCUUAGGUUUCUUGCUAAACCACAGUUCAUAUGGUGUCGUCUCAACGGAUUUAGAUGGUGCCCUAUUUAACGUGAAUGCAGUUGUCUCUAAUGCAUAACCCCAAAACGAUAGUGAUAAAUCGGUAAGAGACAUCAUAGAUCACACCAUAUCUAAUAAAGUACGGUUAUGACGUUCGGACACACCAUUACGCUGUGGUGUUCCAAGCGGCGUGAGUUGCGAAACUAUUCCGCAUUGUUUCAAAUGAAGACCAAACUCGUAACUCAGAUAUUCUCCUCCACGAUCAGAUCGCAGAAAUUUUAUUUUCUUGUUACAAUGAUUUUUCACUUCACUCUAAAAUUCUUUGAACUUUUCAAAUGUUCCAGACUUAUGUUUCAUGAAGUAGAUAUACCCAUAUAUGCUCAAAUCAUCUGUGAAGGUCAGAAAAUAACGAUACCCGCCGCAAGCCUCAACACUCAUCGGAUUGCAUACAUCAGUAUGUAUUAUUUCCAAUAAGUCAAUUGCUUGUUCCAUUGUUCCGGAUAACAGAGUUUUAGUCAUCUUGCCCACGAGGCAUGGUUCGCAAGCAUCAAAUAAUUCAUAAUCAAGUGAUUCCAAAAGCCUAUUAGCAUGUAGUUUCUUCAUGCGCUUUACACCAAUAUGACCUAAACGGCAGUGCCACAUAUAUGUUGCACUAUCAUUAUUAACUUUGCAUCUUUUGGCUUCAAUAUUAUGAAUAUGUGUAUCACUACGAUUGAGAUUCAAUAAACCAUUCACCUCGGGUGUAUGACCACAGAAGGUUUUAUUCAUGUAAACAGAAUAACAAUUAUUCUUUGACUUAAAUGAAUAACCAUAUUGCAAUAAACAUGAUCCAAUCAUAUUAUGCUCAACGUAAACACCAAAUAACAUUUAUUUUAGGUUCAACGCUAAUCCCGAAGGUAAAGGGAGUGUGUGAUGGUGAUCUUAUCAACCUUGGAAUCACUUCCAACACAUAUCGUCACCUCGCCCUCAACUAGUCGUUGUUCAUUUUGUAACUCCUGUUUCAAGUUACUAAUCAUAGCAACUGAACCAGUAUCAAAUACCCAGGGGCUACUAUGAACACUAGUAAAGUACACAUCAAUAACAUGUAUAUCAUAUAUACUUUUGUUCACUUUGACAUCCUUCUUAUCCGCCAAGUAUUUGGGGCAGUUCCGCUUCGAGUGACCAUUUCCUUUGCAGUAAAAGCACCCAGUUUCAGGCUUGGGUCUAGCUUUGGGAUUCUUCAUGGGAGUGGCAACUUGCUUGUCAUUCUUCUUGAAGUUCCAUUUCUUUCCCUUGCCAUUUUACUUGAAACUAGUGGUCUUUUCAACCAUCAACACUUGAUGCUUUUGUUGAUUUCUACCUUCAUCGAUUUCUGCAUCGUGAAGAGCUUGGGAAUUACUUUCGUCAUCCCUUGCAUAUUAUAGUUCAUCACCAAGUUCUAGUAACUUGGUGAUAGUGUCUAGAGAACUUUGUCAAUUACUAUCUUAUCUGGAAGAUUAACUCCCACUUGAUUCAAGCAAUUGUAGUACCCAGACAAUCUGAGCACAUGCUCACUGGUUGAGCUAUUCUCCUCCAUCUUGUAGGCAAGUACUGUCAGAGGUCUCCUGAAAGUGCAACUAUCCCUGGGUGGUUUUGGUAAUUCCUAACAACAUAUAGCUCAUUGAGCUAACAUUAUUCCAAGAUUAAUAUUUCAGGAAAAGCUCAAUGAAUGGCAUGGCAUGGAUGAGGAAAGUGGACCCCUCAAAAUACUAAGGACAAAAAGAUUGGCUCAAGCUCAAAGCUCAAGACUCUACAUUUUAUAUUUUAGUGAUCCAAGAUCACAUUGAGUCUAUAGGAAAAGCCAAUACUAUCAAGGAGGGAUGAGGUGUUGCUUGAUGAGGUUCUUGCUUCAUAGUGUUUAGUGAUAUGCUCCAAAACCCUCAACUACAUUCCCACAUCCACAUAUGACCUAAACCAAAAGUCAAACUCGGCCCCACCGAUUCUUUCUAUCCGGCGCCACCGAGUUCAGAUGUCAUAGCCACUGCCACAAACCCUAGGCAUAUCGGUCUCACCGAUAGGGAUCUCGGUCUCACCGAGAUGGGGUUGUAAUCUCUCUGUUUCCCUUCGUAACAUUUCGGUCCUACCGAGCUGAGCGAUCGGUCCCACCGAGAUUGCAAUGUAAACUCUCGGUUUCCCUUUUGUAACAUUUCGGUCCCACCGAAAUGAGCAAAUCGGUCCCACCGAGUUUACCUGACCAACUCUCUGGUUAGCUUAUUACCAAAAUCGGUCCCACUGAGUUUGUGUAAUCGGUCACAUCGAGAUUACGUUAUGCCCUAACCCUAACCAUAUCGGUCCUACCGAGUUGCAUCUCAGUCCCACCGAAAAUCCUAACGGUUACUAGGUUUGCUAAAUCGGUCUGACCGAGUUUCUCAAUUCGGUCUCACCGAGAUUGGUAAAUUGUGUGUAACGGUUAGUUUUUGUGUGGAGGCUAUAUAUACCCCUCCACCCACUCUUCAUUUGUGGAGAGAGCCAUCAGAACAUACCUACACUUCCAAUACACAUUUUCUGAGAGAGAACCACCUACUCAUGUGUUGAGGCCAAGAUAUUCCAUUCCCACCAUAUGAAUCUUGUUCUCUAGCCUUCCCCAAGUUGCUUUCCACUCAAAUCUUCUUUCCACCAAAUCCAUAUCCCGUGAGAGAGAGUUGAGUGUUGGGGAGACUAUCAUUUGAAGCACAAGAGCAAGGAGUUCAUCAUCAACACACCAUUUGUUACUUCUUGGAGAGUGGUGUCUCCUAGAUUGGCUAGGUGUCACUUGGGAGCCUCCAACAAGAUUGUGGAGUUGAACCAAGGAAUUUGUAAGGGCAAGGAGAUCGCCUACUUCGUGAAGAUCUACCGCUAGUGAGGCAAGUCCUUCAUGGGCGAUGGCCAUGAUGGGAUAGACAAGGUUGCUUCUUUGUGGACCCUUCGUGGGUGGUGUUGGGGAACGUAGUAAUUUCAAAAAUUUCCCUAUGCACACGCAAGAUCAUGGUGAUGCAUAGCAACGAGAGGGGGAGAGUGUGAUCUACGUACCCUUGUAGAUCGACAACGGAAGCGUUAACUUGGUUGAUGUAGUCAUACGUCUCCACGACCCGACCGAUCAAGCACCGAAACUACGGCACCUCCGAGUUCUAGCACACGUUCAGCUUGAUGACGAUCCCCGGACUCUGAUCCAGCAAAGUGUCAGGGAAGAGUUCCGUCAGCACGACAGCGUGGUGACGAUCUUGAUGUACUACCGUCGCAGGGCUUCGCCUAAGCACCACUACAAUAUUAUCGAGGACUAUGGUGGAAGGGGGCACCGCACACGGCUAAGAAUAUGAUCACGUGGAUCAACUUGUGUGUCUAGGGGUGCCCCCUGCCCCCGUAAAUAAAGGAGCAAGGGGAGGAGGCCGGCCGACCCUAUAGGCGCGCCAAGGAGGAGUCCUCCUCCUAGUAGGAGUAGGACUCCUACUAGGAGGGGGAAGGAAGUGGGGAGGGAGAGGGAAAGGGGGGCGCCGCCCCCCCUCUCCUAGUCCAAUUCGGACCAAGGGGGGAGGAGGCGCGCGGCCCACCUUUGGCUGCCCCUCUCUCUCUCUCCACUAAGGCCCAUAUGGACCAUUACUUGUCCCGGGGGGUUUUCGGUAACCCUCCGGCUCUCCGGUUUUCUCCGAAAUCACCCGGAACACUUCCGGUGUCCGAAUAUAGCCGUCCAAUAUAUCAAUCUUUAUGUCUCGACCAUUUUGAGACUCCUCGUCAUGUCCGUGAUCACAUCCGGGACUCCGAACUAACUUCGGUACAUCAAAACUCAUAAACUCAUAAUAUAACUGUCAUCGAAACCUUAAGCGUGCGGACCCUACGGGUUCGAGAACAAUGUAGACAUGACCGAGACACGUCUCCAGUCAAUAACCAAUAGCGGAACCUGGAUGCUCAUAUUGGCUCCUACAUAUUCUACGAAGAUCUUUAUCGGUCAGACCGCAUAACAACAUACAUCGUUCCCUUUGUCAUCGGUAUGUUACUUGCCCGAGAUUCGAUCGUCGGUAUCUCAAUACCUAGUUCAAUCUCGUUACCGGCAAGUCUCCUUACUCGUUCUGUAAUACAUCAUCCCGCAACUAACUCAUUAGUUGCAAUGCUUGCAAGGCUUAAGUGAUGUGCAUUACCGAGAGGGCCCAGAGAUACCUCUUCGACAAUCGGAGUGACAAAUCCUAAUCUCGAAAUACGCCAACCCAACAUGUACCUUUGGAGACACCUGUAGAGCUCCUUUAUAAUCACCCAGUUAUGUUGUGACGUUUGGUAGCACACAAAGUGUUCCUCUGGCAAACGGGAGUUGCAUAAUCUCAUAGUCAUAGGAACAUGUAUAAGUCAUGAAGAAAGCAAUAGUAACAUACUAAACGAUCGGGUGCUAAGCUAAUGGAAUAGGUCAUGUCAAUCAGAUCAUUCAACUAAUGAUGUGAUCCUGUUAAUCAAAUAACAACUCUUUGUCCAUGGUUAGGAAACAUAACCAUCUUUGAUUAACGAGCUAGUCAAGUAGAGGCAUACUAGUGACACUCUAUUUGUCUAUGUAUUCACACGUGUAUUAUGUUUCCGGUUAAUACAAUUCUAGCAUUAAUAAUAAACUUUUAUCAUGAUAUAAGGAAAUAAAUAAUAACUUUAUUAUUGCCUCUAGGGCAUAUUUCCUUCAGUCUCCCACUUGCACUAGAGUCAAUAAUCUAGAUUACACAGUAAUGAUUCUAACACCCAUGGAGCCUUGGUGCUGAUCAUGUUUUGCUCGUGGAAGAGGCUUAGUCAACGGGUCUGCAACAUUCAGAUCCGUAUGUAUCUUGCAAAUCUCUAUGUCUCCCACCUGGACUAGAUCCCGGAUGGAAUUGAAGCGUCUCUUGAUGUGCUUGGUUCUCUUGUGAAAUCUGGAUUCCUUCGCCAAGGCAAUUGCACCAGUAUUGUCACAAAAGAUUUUCAUUGGACUCGAUGCACUAGGUAUGACACCUAGAUCGAAUAUGAACUCCUUCAUCCAGAAUCCUUCAUUUGCUGCUUCCGAAGCAGCUAUGUAUUCCGCUUCACACGUAGAUCCCGCCACGAUGCUUUGUUUAGAACUGCACCAACUGACAGCUCCACCAUUUAAUGUAAACACAUAUCCGGUUUGUGAUUUAGAAUCGUCCGGAUCAGUGUCAAAGCUUGCAGCAAUGUAACCGUUUACGAUGAGCUCUUUGUCACCUCCAUAUACGAGAAACAUAUCCUUAGUCCUUUUCAGGUACUUCAGGAUGUUCUUGACCGCUGUCCAGUGAUCCACUCCUGGAUUACUUUGGUACCUCCCUGCUAGACUUAUAGCAAGGCACACAUCAGGUCUGGUACACAGCAUUGCAUACAUGAUAGAGCCUAUGGCUGAAGCAUAGGGAACAUCUUUCAUUUUCUCUCUAUCUUCUGCAGUGGUCGGGCAUUGAGUCUGACUCAACUUCACACCUUGUAACACAGGCAAGAACCCUUUCUUUGCUUGAUCCAUUUUGAACUUCUUCAAAAUCUUGUCAAGGUAUGUGCUUUGUGAAAGUCCAAUUAAACGUCUUGAUCUAUCUCUAUAGAUCUUUAUGCCUAAUAUGUAAGCAGCUUCACCGAGGUCUUUCAUUGAAAAACUCUUAUUCAAGUAUCCCUUUAUGCUAUCCAGAAAUUCUAUAUCAUUUCCGAUCAGUAAUAUGUCAUCCACAUAUAAUAUCAGAAAUGCUACAGAGCUCCCACUCACUUUCUUGUAAAUACAUGCUUCUCCAAAAGUCUGUAUAAAACCAAAUGCUUUUAUCACACUAUCAAAGCGUUUAUUCCAACUCCGAGAGGCUUGCACCAGUCCAUAAAUGGAUCGCUGGAGCUUGGACACUUUGUUAGCUCCCUUUGGAUCGACAAAACCUUACGGUUGCAUCAUAUACAACUCUUCUUCCAGAAAUCCAUUCAGGAAUGCAGUUUUGACAUCCAUCUGCCAAAUUUCAUAAUCAUAAAAUGCGGCAAUUGCUAACAUAUUCAAACAGACUUAAGCAUCGCUACGGGUGAGAAGGUCUCAUCGUAGUCAACCCCUUGAACUUGCCGAAACCCUUUUGCGACAAGUCGAGCUUUGUAGACAGUAAUAUUACCGUCGGCGUCAGUCUUCUUCUUGAAGAUCCAUUUAUUCUCAAUUGCUUGCCGAUCAUUGGGCAAGUCAACCAAAGUCCACACUUUGUUCUCAUACAUGGAUCCCACCUUAGAUUUCAUGGCUUCAAGCCAUUUUGCGGAAUCUGGGCUCACCAUUGCUUCUUCAUAGUUCGUAGGUUCAUCAUGAUCUAGUAGCAUGACUUCCAGAACUGGAUUACCGUACCACUCUAGCGCGGAUCUCACUCUGGUUGAUCUAUGAGGUUCAGUAGUAUCUUGUUCUGAAGUUUCAUGAUCAUUAUCAUUAUCUUCCUCACUAAUUGGUGUAGGUGUCACAGAAAUAGUUUUCUGUGAUGCACUACUUUCCAAUAAGGGAGCAGGUACAGUUACCUCGUCAAGUUCUACUUUCCUCCCACUCACUUCUUUCGAGAGAAACUCCUUCUCUAGAAAGUUUCCGAACUUAGCAACAAAAGUCUUGCCUUCGGAUCUGUGAUAGAAGGUGUAUCCAAUAGUCUCCUUUGGAUAUCCUAUGAAGACACAUUUCUCCGAUUUGGGUUCGAACUUAUCAGGUUGAAGAUUUUUCACGUAAGCAUCGCAGCCCCAAACUUUCAGAAACGACAACUUUGGUUUCUUGCCAAACCAUAGUUCAUAAGGCGUCGUCUCAACGGAUUUUGAUGGUGCCCUUUUUAACGUGAAUGCGGCCGUCUCCAAAGCAUAACCCCAAAACGAUAGCGGUAAAUCAGUAAGAGACAUCAUAGAUCGCACCAUAUCUAGUAAAGUACGAUUACAACGUUCGGACACACCAUUACGCUGUGGUGUUCUGGGUGGCGUGAGUUGCGAAACUAUUCCGCAUUGUUUCAAAUGUACACCAAACUCGUAACUCAAAUAUUCUCCUCCACGAUCAGAUCGUAGAAACUUUAUUUUCUUGUUAUGAUGAUUUUCAACUUCACUCUGAAAUUCUUUGAACUUUUCAAAUGUUUUAGACUUUUGUUUCAUUAAGUAGAUAUACCCAUAUCUGCUUAAGUCAUCUAUGAAGGUGAGAAAAUAACGAUAUCCGCCACGAGCCUCAAUAUUCAUCGGACCACAUACAUCUGUAUGUAUGAUUUCCAACAAAUCUGUUGCUCUCUCCAUAGUACCGGAGAACGGCGUUUUAGUCAUCUUGCCCAUGAGGCAUGGUUCGCAAGUACCAAGUGAUUCAUAAUCAAGUGGUUCCAAAAGUCCAUCAGUAUGGAGUUUCUUCAUGCACUUUACACCGAUAUGACCUAAACGGCAGUGCCACAAAUAAGUUGCACUAUCAUUAUCAACUCUGCAUCUAUUGGCUUCAACAUUAUGAAUAUGUGUGUUACUACUAUCGAGAUUUAAUAAGAAUAGACCACUCUUCAAGGGUGCAUGACCAUAAAAGAUAUUACUCAUAUAAAUAGAACAACCAUUAUUCUCUGAUUUAAAUGAAUAACCGUCUCGCAUCAAACAAGAUCCAGAUAUAAUGUUCAUGCUUAACGCUGGCACCAAAUAACAAUUAUUUAGGUCUAAUAUUAAUCUCGAAGGUAGAUGUAGAGGUAGCGUGCCGACCGCGAUCACAUCGACUUUGGAACCGUUUCCCACGCGCAUCGUCACCUCGUCCUUAGCCAAUCUUCGCUUAAUUCGUAGUCCCUGUUUCGAGUUGCAAAUAUUAGCAACAGAACCAGUAUCAAAUACCCAGGUGCUACUGCGAGCAUUAUCAAGGUACACAUCAAUAACAUGUAUAUCACAUAUACCUUUGUUCACCUUGCCAUCCUUCUUAUCCGCCAAAUACUUGGGGCAGUUCCACUUCCAGUGACCAGUCUGCUUGCAGUAGAAGCAAUCAGUUUCAGGCUUAGGUCCAGACUUGGGUUUCUUCUCUUGAGCAGCAACUUGCUUGCUGUUCUUCUUGAAGUUCCCCUUCUUCUUCCCUUUGCCCUUUUUCUUGAAACUAGUGGUCUUGUUGACCAUCAACACUUGAUGCUCCUUUUUGAUUUCUACCUCCGCAGCUUUCAGCAUUGCGAAGAGCUAGGGAAUAGUCUUAUUCAUCCCUUGCAUAUUAUAGUUCAUCACGAAGCUCUUGUAGCUUGGUGGCAGUGAUUGGAGAAUUCUGUCAAUGACGCAAUCAUCUGGAAGAUUAACUCCCAUUUGAAUCAAGUGAUUAUUAUACCCAGAAAUUUUGAGUAUAUGCUCACUGACAGAACUGUUCUCCUCCAUCUUGCAGCUAUAGAACUUAUUGGAGACUCCAUAUCUCUCAAUCCGGGCAUUUGCUUGAAAUAUUAACUUCAACUCCUGGAACAUCUCAUAUGCUCCAUGACGUUCAAAACGUUGUUGAAGUCCCGGUUCUAAGCCGUAAAGCAUGGCACACUGAACUAUCAAGUAGUCAUCAGCUUUGCUCUGCCAGACGUUCACAACAUCUGGUGUUGCUCCAGCAGCAGGCCUGGCACCCAGCGGUGCUUCCAGGAUGUAAUUCUUCUGUGCAGCCAUGAGGAUAAUCCUCAAGUUAUGGACCCAGUCCAUGUAAUUGCUACCAUCAUCUUUCAACUUUGCUUUCUCAAGGAACGCAUUAAAAUUCAACGGAACAACAACACGGGCCAUUUAUCUACAAUCAUACAUAAACAAGCAAGAUACUAUCAGGUACUAAGUUCAUGAUAAAUUUAGGUUCAAUUAAUCAUAUUACUUAAAGAACUCCCACUUAGAUAGACAUCCCUCUAAUCCUCUAAGUGAUUACGUGAUCCAAAUCAACUAAACCAUGUCCGAUCAUCACGCGAGAUGGAGUAGUUUCAUUAGUGAACAUCACUAUGUUGAUCAUAUCUACUAUAUGAUUCACGCUCGACCUUUCGGUCUCCAUGUUCCGAGGCCAUAUCUGUAUAUGCUUGGCUCGUCAAGUAUAACCUGAGUAUUCCGCGUGUGCAACUGUUUUGCACCCGUUGUAUUUGAACGUAGAGCCUAUCACACCCGAUCAUCACGUGGUGUCUCAGCACGAAGAACUUUCGCCACAGUGCAUACUCAGGGAGAACACUUCUUGAUAAUUUAGUGAGAGAUCAUCUUAUAAUGCUACCGUUAAUCAAAGCAAGAUAAGAUGCAUAAAAGAUAAACAUCACAUGCAAUCAAUAUAAGUGGUAUGAUAUGGCCAUCAUCAUCUUGUGCUUGUGAUCUCCAUCUCCGAAGCACCGUCGUGAUCACCAUCGUCACCGGCGCGACACCUUGAUCUCCAUCGUAGCAUCGUUGUCGUCUCACCAAUCUUAUGCUUCCACGACUAUCGCUACCGCUUAGUGAUAAAGUAAAGCAUUACAGCGCGAUUGCAUUGCAUACAAUAAAGCGACAACCAUAUGGCUCCUGCCAGUUGCCGAUAACUCGGUUACAAAACAUGAUCAUCUCAUACAAUAAAAUUUAGCAUCAUGUCUUGACCAUAUCACAUCACAACAUGCCCUACAAAAACAAGUUAGACGUCCUCUACUUUGUUGUUGCAAGUUUUACGUGGCUGCUACGGGCUUAAGCAAGAACCAAUCUUACCUACGCAUCAAAACCACAAUGAUAGUUUGUCAAGUUGGUGCUGUUUUAACCUUCUCAAGGACUGGGCGUAGCCACACUCGGUUCAACUAAAGUUGGAGAAACUGGCACCCACAAGCCACCUAUGUGCAAAGCACGUCGGGAGAACCGGUCUCGCGUAAGCGUACGCGUAAUGUCGGUCCGGGCCGCUUCGUCCAACAAUACCGCCGAACCAAAGUAUGACAUGCUGGUAAGCAGUAUGACUUAUAUCGCCCACAACUCACUUGUGUUCUACUCGUGCAUAUAACAUCAACAUAUAAAACCUAGGCUCUGAUACCACUGUUGGGGAACGUAGUAAUUUCAAAAAAUUUCCUACGCACACACAAGAUCAUGGUGAUGCAUAGCAACGAGAGGGGGAGAGUGUGAUCUACGUACCCUUGUAGAUCGACAACGGAAGCGUUAACUUGGUUGAUGUAGUCGUAUGUCUCCACGGCCCGACCGAUCAAGCACCGAAACUACGGCACCUCCGAGUUCUAGCACACGUUCAGCUUGAUGACGAUCCCCGGACUCCGAUCCAGCAAAGUGUCGGGGAAGAGUUCCGUCAGCACGAUGGCACGGUGACGAUCUUGAUGUACUACCGUCGCAGGGCUUCGCCUAAGCACCGCUACAAUAUUAUCGAGGACUAUGGUGGAAUGGGGCACCGCACACGGCUAAGAAUAUGAUCACGUGGAUCAACUUGUGUGUCUAGGGGUGCCCCCUGCCCCCGUAUAUAAAGGAGCAAGGGGAGGAGGCCGGCCGACCCUAUAGGCGCGCCAAGGAGGAGUCCUCCUCCUAGUAGGAGUAGGACUCCUACUAGGAGGGGGAAGGAAGUGGGGAGGGAGAGGGAAAGGGGGGCGCUGCCCCCCUCUCCUAGUCCAAUUCGGACCAAGGGGGGAGGAGGCGCGCGACCCACCUUUGGCUGCCCCUCUCUCUCUCCACUAAGGCCCAUAUGGCCCAUUACUUCUCCCGAGGGGUUUCCGGUAACCCUCCGGCUCUCCGGUUUUCUCCGAAAUCACCCGGAACACUUCCGGUGUCCGAAUAUAGCCGUCCAAUAUAUCAAUCUUUAUGUCUAGACCAUUUCGAGACUCCUCGUAAUGUUCAUGAUCACAUCCGGGACUCCAAACUAACUUCGGUACAUAAAAACUCAUAAACUCAUAAUAUAACUGUCAUCGAAACCUUAAGCGUGCGGACCCUACGGGUUCGAGAACAAUGUAGACAUGACCGAGACACGUCUCCGGUCAAUAACCAAUAGCGGAACCUGGAUGCUCAUAUUGGCUCCUACAUAUCCUACGAAGAUCUUUAUCGGUCAGACCGCAUAACAACAUAUGUCAUUCCCUUUGUCAUCGGUAUGUUACUUGCCCGAGAUUCGAUCGUCGGUAUCUCAAUACCUAGUUCAAUCUCGUUACCAGCAAGUCUCUUUACUCAUUCUGUAAUACAUCAUCCCGCAACUAACUCAUUAGUUGCAAUGCUUGCAAGGCUUAAGUGAUGUGCAUUACCGAGAGGGCCAGAGAUACCUCUCCGACAAUCGGAGUGACAAAUCCUAAUCUCGAAAUACGCCAACCCAACAUGUACCUUUGGAGACACCUGUAGAGCUCCUUUAUAAUCACCCAGUUACGUUGUGACGUUUGGUAGCACACAAAGUGUUCCUCUGGCAAACGGGAGUUGCAUAAUCUCAUAGUCAUAGGAACAUGUAUAAGUCAUGAAGAAAGCAAUAGCAACAUACUAAACGAUCGGGUGCUAAGCUAAUGGAAUGGGUCAUGUCAAUCAGAUCAUUCAACUAAUGAUGUGAUCCCGUUAAUCAAAUAACAACUCUUUGUCCAUGGUUAGGAAACAUAACCAUCUUUGAUUAACGAGCUAGUCAAGUAGAGGCAUACUAGUGACACUCUGUUUGUCUAUGUAUUCACACAUGUAUUAUGUUUCCGGUUAAUAAAAUUCUAGCAUGAAUAAUAAACUUUUAUCAUGAUAUAAGGAAAUAAGUAAUAACUUUAUUAUUGCGUCUAGGGCAUAUUUCCUUCAGGUGGAGCCCUCCGUGGACUCGCGCAACUGUUACCCUUCGUGGGUUGAAGUCUCCAUCAACGUGGAUGUACGAUAGCACCACCUAUUGGAACCAUGACAAAAACAUUCGUGUCUCCAAUUGCGUUUGAAUUCUCCAAACCCUUCCCGUUACAUUCUUGCAAGUUGCAUGAUUUAUUUUCUGCUACUCAUCGACUCUUUGCAUGCUUGCUUGAAUUGUGUUAAGAUUGCUUGACUUGUGCUAAGAUUGCUAAAAUCUGCCAAAGACUAAAAUUGGGAAAAGUAUAGAUUUUUAAUUGGUCAAGUAGUCUAAUCACCCCCUCUAGACAUACUUUCGAUCCUACAAGUGGUAUCAGAGCUUUGGUCUCCAUUUGCUUUGAUUUCCAUAGCUUUUGGUGGUCAUAGCCUUGGUUUAACAACCUAGGAGAGUAUGGCGUCUAGCGAGGGAAAUUAUCACUGUAGAGGUCCUUACUUUGAUGACACUAAUUUUGCUAGUUGGAAGCAUAAGAUGAAAAUGCAUAUUCUUGGACAUAACCCCACCGUUUGGGCUAUUGUGUGUGUUGGCUUGCAAGGUGAAUUCUUUGAUGGGAGAGAACCGAAUCGUGAAGCCACCGCAGAAGAGUUGAAGAUGCUGCAAUACAAUGGUCAAGCUUGUGAUAUCCUCUUCAACGGAUUGUGCCCUGAAGAAUUCAACAAAAUCAGCCGUCUUGAGAAUGCAAAGGAAAUUUGGGAUACUUUGAUUGACAUGCAUGAAGGUACCGACUCCGUCAAGGAAUCCAAGUUGGAUGUGCUUCAAAGUCAACUUGACAAGUUCAAAAUGAAGGAUGGUUAAGGUGUCGCUGAAAUGUACUCUAGGCUUGCUGUUAUCACAAAUGAGAUUGCCGGCUUAGGAAGUGAAGAGAUGACCGACAGAUUCAUCAUCAAGAAGAUCCUAAGAGCCUUGGAUGGAAAAUAUGAUACCGUGUGCACAUUGAUUCAAAUGAUGCCCAAUUACAAAGAUCUCAAGCCAACGGAAGUCAUUGGAAGAACUGUUGCUCAUGAGAUGUCACUCAAGGAUAAGGAGGAGCUCCAUAACAAGUCAAGUGGUGCAUACAAAGCCUCAUGUGAAGCUCCCACAUAAUCAAGUGAGAAACAAACCUUCAAUAAAGAAUUGAGCCUAAUGGUGAAGAACUUCAACAAGUUCUACAAGAAUAGAAGCAAAGAGAGAAGUUCCAAGUCAAGGUCCUAUAAUGGCAAAAGAUCUUCUAGUCGAGAGCGAAACUUCUACAAUUGUGGAAGACCCGGACACUACUCCAAUGAGUGUACGGCUCCCCACAAGAGAAGAGAAGAUUCUCCUAAAAGAAAGAGAAGAAUCACCAUCAAGGGAGAGAAGGAGUAGGGAUGAUCGAUAUGAACGAAGACCCUCUCGGAGAAGCAAGGAUUCGGAAAGGAAGGACAAGUCAUCAAGGAGCUACACAAAACAAAGACAUCAAGCUCAUGUUGGUGAAUGGGUAUCAGGCUCCAACUCCGACAAUGACUCCGAGAGAAGCUAUCACUCUGACUCCGAAUAUACUCAAGAUGAAGGUGUUGCCGGUCUAGCACUUGUGUCAACCAACUCCUAUGACAUAUUUGAUUCACCAAAUGAAGGAAUUGGAAGAUGCUUCAUGGCCAAAGGUACAAAGGUAUCACACCCCGAGUAUGUUGAUUUCAAUAGUGAUGAAGAUGACUUGUUAGGUGAUGAUGAUUUACUUGUUGACAACUAUAGUGAUGAAUACUAUGAUGAAACGUCAAUUAAUCAUGCUAAUCAAGAUGAAACGGAUGACAAUGAUAAGGAGAAGAUUGAGUCUCUAACUAAAGAACUAAACACUCUUAAGUUAUCUCAUGAAACUACCUUAGGAGAUCAUCGAGAACUUUUAAGGACUCAUGAGAAAUUACGUUUUGAAAAGCUCAACCUUGAGCAAAAGCAUGAGUUCUUAAAGGCAAUCAAUGAUGAUCUUCGCAAGAAAAGUUCUUACAUUGCCAAGCAUUUACUCUUAUCCACUUACAUGCCUCAAGUCAAGUCUAGUAACAAGAACAAGAAAGAUUCUUCCUCUAGUAGUAACAAUAAUCAUGCUAAAUCCAAUGUUGUUGCUUCUAGUAGUUCUCUUGAUUCCACUAAUGAUUCUCUUAGCCAAGUUACACUUGAGCAAGAAAAUAGCUUAUUGAAGGGAAUCAUAGAGAAAGGUGUUUACAAGAGCCUUGCUGGGAGUAAGCAAUUCAAGGAAAUUGUAUGCAAGCAAGGAAGGCACCGGAAGAAUCAAGGUAUUGGUUUUGAACGAAAGUUCAAUGCCAAUGGAGUUGAGUGGGAAGAAGAUCAAUACCCCAAGACGAAGUUUGUUCCUCAACAAGAGAAGUAUGAUCCUACUUCUUCCAAAGGGACACAAGCUCAAGAUGAUCUUCCACCACAAGACCACAAGCAAAAAGGCAAGGACAAGCUUCAAGAGGAAAUUGAUGCAUUUGAAGAAGCUCCUAAGGCCUUGAAGUGGGUUCCCAAGACUACAUCAAGUUCCACUUCAUCAAGUACAACUACAACUCCAAGGAUUCCCAUCAAGAUGGUGUGGAUCCUGAAGAAGAAGAACUAGAGAGUUCUUGAGGGUGACUCCGCCAACAUACUUCACUCUUAUCAUUUUGGCAAGAACAAGUGCAAUCAGCUUCCACAUCUUGCACUAGUUCAAGGAGUCACAAACCCUCUUGUUGGUAAGACAAGGGACAAGGUAACCUAAUGCUCUCAUAGACAUCAUCUUGUGUGUGCAUCACUCUAUGUCUAUGGAUAUCCUUGUUUGUUCCUUGUGGGACUAACCCGUGUAGGUAUUGAAAGUGCAACUCACUCCAAAGGAUAGCUCCAAAUGAUCUACAUCAACAUUAAGCAUCCACAUCUUCAACAUCUACAUGAAGUCAUCAUCGACAAAACCCAAGGUUAGUUCAUCCCUCUUAGGGGGGAUCUCACAUCUGGGGGGAGCUUUACUCUAAGAAUUGAGCUAAAGCAACUCUAAUGGUGUGAAAACAACAACGCUUUAUGUAAAAGUGGUAACCCCACUUGUGCUUAAACGAUGAGUAUGACCUAUGAUCAAAUGUUCUCAUUUGACUCCUAAGUCAAUAUACUCAUAUAUAGAUGACCUAGUCAUCGCCAAUUGCUUGAUAGAUGCUAGAAUUGUUUGUGCAUGCUCUGCCACAUAUUUCAUUUGUCAUUUUUAUUGUGUGAGCAUGUUGGUUGCAUAAUUUACUCAUUCGAGGACAUCCACUUGUUGUUUUGAUUGAUUGGUUUCUUUUUCUCUUGCCAAGUGGAUGGACAAUAAUGCCUAAGAACCUUCUCUAGCUAUCUAUGCCUUUCUCAUCUCAAACUCUAUUCAUGCUGCAUCACAAAAUUUGAUCAAGUCAGAUUCGAACCACUCUGUGUGAGGAGCACUAGGAGUCCCCGAUUCAUCAUAGACUUAAACUUCCAAAACUUCUUUGUGCGUUUCGGUCUGACUAAUUCACCCAUUUCGGUCAUACCGAGAUCACUAAGUCAAUCUAGGUUUUCAAUCUCGAUGCAACCGAUUUGAACUUUUCGGUCACACCGAGUUGCAGCAACUACUUGUAGUUAUGCAUCUCGGUGCCACCGAGUUGUUCCACUCGGUCACACCGAUAGGGUCGGGCUAUAUAUACCCACAGGCAAAAAUUUGGAAAUUUUCUCCAAACUCUUUCGCCCGCGCUUAGCCCGCUCUGCCUCCAGGGUCUCCGGAUCGCCCUCCUCGUCGCCAGUUGCCUCCUGCCGCUGGUUUCCGCGACCGUCAACGGAAUCAUCCCCGCCGUUGCCGCCGUAGCGAGUUCAUCGCCGAAUUAGGGUAUGAACUUGAUCACUGUGCUAUCCUUAUCUGAUUUCUAGCACAUUGUGUUCGCCAUGAAUCUUGCCACGAUUGAAACUAUCUUAUCCAGUCAAAAACACUCCGUAGAUUAGAGAUGAUUUGAAAAUUUAGGGUUAGGUUUCCGCCGAAACCAUCUCGGACCAACCGAGUUGUGGAACUCGGUACCACCGAUUUGGCUCAGGCCAUUGCACACGUGAUUCUCGGUCUGACCGAGAAUUGCAAAUCGGUGUGACCGAGUUCAGGACUUUGUGAAACCCUAGCAGUCUCGGUGCCACCGAACUGUGACUUGGUCUGACCGAGUUCACUAGUUUAGGUUCCAACAACUGCUUCGGUAUCACUGAGUUUACAAAUCGGUUGAUCCGAAAUGCUUUCUGAGGAAAACUAAAACUAAGUUUUUGAUUCAUUCUUUUGCAAAAACCUCUAUAUUUUGUGAUGCUCAUCCACUCUACCUCAUCUAUAAUCUAUUCACAGGGUCAGCUGUCAGAGAUUGCAUUAUGUCUGAUCAAAGUGACAGUCAGAACAAGUCAGAGGAGCAGGUUCACACGAGUGAGGGCACUAGUCCCUCUAGCAUCUCAGAUGAUGGAAGUAGGAGCACACCCAGCAACUUGCCAAAAGCUGCCACCAGGGCCAGAAAGAAGAAAACUUCUGAAUGUGAGGAUCAAGACUAUGUGGAAGUUGAGGAUGAGGCCACUUCCAAGAAGAAAGUGGUUAAAAAGGAAUAUAGCACUGCUACUACAACUAAGCUAGGUCUGAAGACCAAGAGGCCAGCAGGAAGACAGCCAAUGUCUAAAGCCAGAGCAUCUACUCAAGAGACUUUGGGAUCUGCACCCAAAGAGUAGGUUGUGGCAGAAAAGAAAAGGAAAGAGAGGGUCAAGAAGACCACUGCCAGAGUGCUUGGGAGAUCUUCAAUCAUGAAAGACUCUGAAGAAGAGGAAGAGGAAGAGGAUGCUGCACCAGCACCUAAGGCACAGAAACUUAUGGGAGAUGCCAUAAGAUCAGGGGCUGCUUCAUCUAAGCCCAAAGAAGCUCCAAAGCCAGCUGCUCCAAAACCCAAAACUGCACCAAAGAGGAGUACCAGGAACAUUCCAGCUGUUGAGAAAAGCAAGGCCCCAGUGCCUGAAACUGUUGCUGAAGAAGAAGAUGAUGAGACACAUGUUUUGAGGAAGUUAAAGCCAAAAAUUCCAGAUCAUAAUGAUGCUCAUCCUGUAGCAGAAAACAGGAAGAUCAGGAAGGACCCAAGAUUGAGGCUAUGGAGAGAGUCAGAUCCAUAUGCCACCAGGAGGAGAACUGUUGUGGACUACAGGUUCCAUACCAAAGAACAUCAGGAUUUUUAUGAGACAGUGUUGCUUGACAAGAAACCAAUAGUAUGUGACAUGAGAUGGGUGAACUGAGAGUACAUCAAGGAGAAUGAAGAAUGCUAUCCAGGAGUAUAUGACAGUUUCAAGGCUUGUGGAGUUGAUGAGUUUGUGGCUCAGAAGUUCACAAAGUGGAAUGAUGAGCUUAUCAUGCAGUUCUACUCCAUAGCUCACUUCUACCCAGAUGGCAAGAUAGUCUGGAUGUCUGAAGGCACUAGAUACCAGUCAACAGUAGCAGAAUGGGCUCAAUUGAUCAAUGCUCCUGAGGAGAAUGAAGAUGACUUGGAUGUCUAUGCCAAGAAGAAGAAGGAUCACAACUGCAUGGCUAGCAUGUACAAGGAGAUUCCUGAUGCAGAUCUUGAGACUCACCAAUUUGGAUCAGUGAAACACCUGCUGUCAGGACUGCCUACUAUCAAUUGGAUUCUCAGGAACACUCUUCUGCCCAAGUCUGGUGAUCACAGAAUGAUUAGAGGCCACUCCAUCAAUCUGCUACAUAUAUUUGAUGUGCCACAAAAGUUCAAGGUCAUGAGUCUUAUAGUUGAAACUAUCAAGAGGACAGCUGCUGACCAAAAGAGAAGUUGUGGGUAUGCACCACAGAUCCAUGAGUUGAUUAUCUCCAAGCUGGGCACUGGCACAUACUUGUUGGACAAGGAGCACAUGCAUAUCUAUCCAGACUUUGAGGAAAACCAAGUGGUUAUGAAUGAGGAUGAACCAUCUUCUGUGCAUGUUCAAGCAAAGAGGGAGAAGGUAAAGGCUGAGAAAGCUGCAAAGAUGCCAACCAUGGAAGAGGCAUCUCAGUAUCUUCUGAAGAGCAAGCAAGAUCAGCUUGGCUACUUGAUUGCAUCCACUCUAAGGAUUGAGAAAGGGAUGGCCACCCUAACUCAAAACCAGGAGAGCUUGGAAAGGAUCAUAGAGCAGAAGUUCUAUGUCAUGGAUGUGAAGGUAACUGAGAUCCAGUCUGUUGUGGAGCAACUUCAGGAUGAUAUGCAGGAGAGGACGGGCAAGACAACCACUGAUGCAUUUGCCAGAGUGCCUAGAGCUCAGAGAUCUGCUGCAGUGCCUUCACUACACCAGCUACAGCUUCAGUGCCACCAGCUCCAGCACCUACUCCAUCAGCUCCAUCUACAUCGACUGAAGCAUUCAUUCUUGGAGUUAUCCGGACACCACCACCUGAAGACCAAGCCUGAGAGACGAUUUAGUGCUAUGCAUUUUCUAUGAACUUUUUGGUAACUUGUUGCCAAAGGGGAAGAAAAAUGUAUAGAUCAUAGGCUUCGAGAGAGAGUGUUGCUUUUUAUUCUCUCUUGCUUUGGUGGUUGAACUUUAUUUGCUUGAUUGAGAUACUUUCUGUCUGUGUGAUACUUGGAUGAUGAUAUGUGUUUGAUCUUAUGCUACAUUAAUGCUUGUUGGAUGACAUUAUCAUUUUAUCCCUAUAUGAUCAGUCACUUUGCUCGGUGAUGAGUGCAUGUAUUUAAUUAUUAUCAUUUUGAGCGCUCCACCAAGAUGUAUGUGACAUGGAAGAGUAACCCAUGAGCCUAACUCUUUGUGCAUUUGCAGUCCAAAGCAAAUCAUAAACUAUGCACAAAUUCAGGGGGAGCUCUUGCUUUUCACAUACUUCUCAAAGCGACAAUGGUUUUCACUCUUAUUAUCAUUCGUCGAAGCUUUGAUCUAUAUGUUGUCAUCAAUUACCAAAAAGGGGGAGAUUGAAAGUGCAACUAUCCCUGGGUGGUUUUGGUAAUUCCUAACAACAUAUAGCUCAUUGAGCUAACAUUAUUCCAAGAUUAAUAUUUCAGGAAAAGCUCAAUGAAUGGCAUGGCAUGGAUGAGGAAAGUGGACCCCUCAAAAUACUAAGGACAAAAAGAUUAGCUCAAGCUCAAAGCUCAAGACUCUACAUUUUAUAUUUUAGUGAUCCAAGAUCACAUUGAGUCUAUAGGAAAAGCCAAUACUAUCAAGGAGGGAUGAGGUGUUGCUUGAUGAGGUUCUUGCUUCAUAGUGUUUAGUGAUAUGCUCCAAAACCCUCAACUACCUUCCCACAUCCACAUAUGACCUAAACCAAAAGUCAAACUCGGCCCCACCGAUUCUUUCUAUCCGGCGCCACUGAGUUUAGAUUUCAUAGCCACUGCCACAAACACUAGGCAAAUCGGUCUCACCGAUAGGGAUCUCGGUCUCACCGAGAUGGGGUUGUAAUCUCUCUGUUUCCCUUCAUAACGUUUCGGUCCUACCGAGAUGAGCGAUCAGUCCCACUGAGAUUGCAAUGUAAACUCUCUGUUUCCCUUUUGUAACAUUUUGGUCCACCGAAAUGAGAAAAUCGGUCCCACCGAGUUUACCUGACCAACUCUCUGGUUAGCUUAUUACCAAAAUCGGUCCCACCGAGUUUGUGUAAUCGGUCACACCGAGAUUACAUCAUUCCCUAACCCUAACCAUAUCGGUCCUACCGAGUUGCAUCUCAGUCCCACCGAAAAUCCUAAUGGUCACUAGGUUUGCUAAAUCGGUCCGACCGAGUUUCUCAAUUCGGUCUCACCGAGAUUGGUAAAUUUUGUGUCACGGUUAGUUUUUGUGCGGAGGCUAUAUAUACCCCUCCACCCACUCUUCAUUCGUGGAGAGAGCCAUCAGAACAUACCUACACUUCCAAUACACAUUUUCUGAGAGAGAACCACCUACUCAUGUGUUGAGGCCAAGAUAUUCCAUUCCCACCAUAUGAAUCUUGAUCUCUAGCCUUCCCCAAGUUGCUUUCCACUCAAAUCUUAUUUCCACCAAAUCCAUAUCCCGUGAAAGAGAGUUGAGUGUUGGGGAGACUAUCAUUUGAAGCACAAGAGCAAGGAGUUCAUCAUCAACACACCAUUUGUUACUUCUUGGAGAGUGGUGUCUCCUAGAUUGGCUAGGUGUCACUUGGGAGCCUCCGACAAGAUUGUGGAGUUGAACCAAGGAGUUUGUAAGGGCAAGGAGACCGCCUACUUCGUGAAGAUCUACCGCUAGUGAGGCAAGUCCUUCGUGGGCGAUGGCCAUGAUGGGAUAGAUAAGGUUGCUUCUUCGUGGACCCUUCAUGGGUGGAGCCCUCCGUGGACUCGCGCAACCAUUACCCUUCGUGGGUUGAAGUCUCCAUCAACGUGGAUGUACGAUAGCACCACCUAUCGGAACCACGACAAAAACAUUCGUGUCUCCAAUUGCGUUUGAAUUCUCCAAACCCUUCCCAUUACAUUCUUGCAAGUUGCAUGCUUUACUUUCCGCUGCUCAUAGACUCUUUGCAUGCUUGAUUGAAUUGUGUUAAGAUUGCUUAACUUGUGCUAAGAUUGCUAAAAUCUCCCAAAGACUAAAAUUGGGAAAAUGAUAGAUUUUUAAUUGGUCAAGUAGUCUAAUCACCCCCCUCUAGACAUACUUUCGAUCCUACAUCUCCUACCUCUCGACACGGGCAUGAGUAUGAAAUACCAAUUUCAACUCUUCGAACAUCUUAUAUGCUCUGUGGCAUUCAAAAACAUUUUUGAAGUCCCGGUUCUAAGCCGUAAAGCAUGGUGCACUAAACUAUUAAGUAGUCAUCAUUCCGAGCUUUGUCAAACAUUCACAACGUCUGCAUUUGCUCCUGCAAUAGUUAUGUCACCUAGCGGUGCAUCAAGGAUAUAAUUCUUCUGUGCAGGAACGAGGAUAAUCCUUAGAUCACAGAUCCAAUACACAUCAUUGCUACUAUCAUCUUUCAACAUAGUUUUCUCUAGGAACAUAUCAUUAAUAAAACGGGGAAGUUAUAUGCGAGCAAUUGAUCUACAACAUAGAUAUGCAAAUACUAUCAGGACUAAGUUCAUGAUAAAUUUAAGUUCAAUUAAUCAUAUUACUUAAGAAUUCCCACUUAGAUAGACAUCCCUCUAAUCAUCUAAGUGAUCACAUGAUCCAUAUCAACUAAACCAUGUCUGAUCAUCACAUGAGAUGGAGUAGUUUUCAAUGGUGAACAUCACUAUGUUGAUCAUAUCUACUAUAUGAUUCACGCUCGACCUUUAGGUCUUAGUGUUCCGAGGCCAUAUCUGCAUAUGCUAGGCUCGUCAAGUUUAACCCGAGUAUUCUGCAUGUGCAAAACUGGCUUGCACCCGUUGUAUGUGAACGUAGAGCUUAUCACACCCGAUCAUCACGUGGUGUCUCAACACGAAGAACUGUCGCAACGGUGCAUACUCAGGGAGAAUACUUGUACCUUGAAAUUUAGUGAGAGAUCAUCUUAUAAUGCUACCGCCGAACUAAGCAAAAUAAGAUGCAUAAAGGAUAAACAUCACAUGCAAUCAAAUAUAAGUGAUAUGAUAUGGCCAUCAUCAUCUUGUGCCUUUGAUCUCCAUCUCCAAAGCACCGUCAUGAUCACCAUAGUCACCGGCUUGACACCAUGAUCUCCAUCAUCUUGAUCUUUAUCAACGUGUUGUCACAUGGUCGUCUCGCCAUCUAUUUCUUUUGCAACUAUUGCUAUCGCAUAGCGAUAAAGUAAUGCAAUUAUAUGGUGCUUGCAUCUUAUGCAAUAAAGAGACAACCAUAAGGCUCCUGCCAUUUGCUGAUAAAUUUAACAAAACAUGAUCAUCUCAUACAACAAUUUAUAUCUCAUCACGUCUUGACCAUAUCACAUCACAACAUGCCCUGCAAAAACAAGUUAGACGUCCUCUACUUUGUUGUUGCAAGUUUUACGUGGCUACUACGGGCUUCUAGCAAGAACCGUUCUUACCUACGCAUCAAAACCACAACGUAGUAUAGUGAUUGCUUUUUGAUCUUCAGAAAGAACCAUGUUCAUUGAAACCGAUUCAACUAAAGUUGGAGAAACAGACACCCACUAGCCACCUAUGUGCGAAGCAUGUCGCUAGAACCAGUCUCGCGUAAGCGUACGCGUAAUGUCGGUCUGAGCCGCUUCAUCCAACAAUACCGCUGAAUCAAGAAUCAACUAGUGACGGCAAGAAAUAUGUAUAUACCCACGUCCAUAACUCCUUUGUGUUCUACUCGUGCAUAUAACAUCUACACACAGACCUGGCUCGGAUUCCACUGUUGGGGAACGUAGUAAUUUCAAAAAAAUUCCUACGCACACGCAAGAUCCAUCUAGGUGAUGCAUAGCAACGAGCGGGGAAGAGUGUUGUCUACGUACCCUUGUAGACCGUAAGCGGAAGCGUUAUGACAACGCGGUUGAUGUAGUUGUACAUCUUCACGAUCCGACCGAUCCUAGCACCGAAGGUACGACACCUCCGCGAUCUGCACACGUUCAGCUCAGUGACGUCCUGUGAACUCUAGAUCUAGCUGAGUGUCGAGGGAGAGUUUCAUCAGCACGACGGUGUGAUGAUGGUGAUGAUGAAGCUACUAGAACAGGGCUUCGCCUAAGCACUGCAAUGAUAUGACCGAGGUGGAUUAUGGUGGAGGGGGGCACCGCACACGGCUAAGAUAAUUGUCAACUUGUGUGUCUAUGGGGUGCCCCCUCCACCUUAUACUCCCUCCGGUCCUUUUUACUCUGCAUAUUAGAAUUCUCUGAAGUCAAACUUCACAAAGUUUGACCGUAUUUAUAUGAAAAAUAUCAACAUCUGCCAUGCUAAAGUUUUACAAUAUGAAACUUUAAGUCAUGAUACAUCUAUUGAUAUUGAUUUCAGAUUGUGAAUGUUGGUACUUUUUUCUAUAAAGUUGGUCAAACUUUACGAGGCUUGACUUCCGUCAAAUCUUAUAUGCGAACUAAAAAGGACUGGAGGGAGUAUAAAGGAGUGGAGGAGGGGGAGGGGCCGACCCUCUAUGGCGCGCCCAAGGGAGUCCUACUCCCACCAGGAGUAGGAUUCCCCCCCCCUUUCCUAGUUGGAUUAGGAGAGGAAGGAAGGGGGCGAGAGGGGGAAAGGAAAGGGGGGGCCAGCCCCCCACCCAAUUAAGAUUGGGCUUGGGGGGGCCCUCCUAGGCUCCCUUCUCCUCUCUCCCACUAUGGCCCAAUAAGGCCCAUAUACUUCCCGGGGGGUUUCGGUAACCUCCCGGUACUCCGGUAUAUUCCCGAACUCACCCGAAACCAUUACGAUGUCCAAACAUAGGCUUCCAAUAUAUCGAUCUUUAUGUCUCGACCAUUUAGAGACUCCUCGUCAUGCCCGUGAUCACAUCCGGGACUCCGAACAACCUUUGGUACAUCAAAACACAUAAACUCAUAAUACCGAUCGUCACCAAACAUUAAGCGUGCGGACCCUACGGGUUCGAGAACUAUGUAGACAUGACCGAGACUCAUCUCCGGUCAAUAACCAAUAGCGGAACUUGGAUGAUCAUAUUGGUUCCUACAUAUUCUACGAAGAUCUUUAUCGGUCAAACCGCAUAACAACAUACGUUGUUCCCUUUGUCAUCGGUAUGUUACUUGCCCGAGAUUUGAUCGUCGGUAUCUCAAUACCUAGUUCAAUCUCGUUACCGGCAAGUCUCUUUACUUGUUUCGUAAUGCAACAACCCGUAACUAACUCAUUAGUCACAUUGCUUGCAAGGCUUAUAGUGAUGUGCACUACCGAGAGGGCCCAGAGAUACCUCUCCGAUACACGGAGUGACAAAUCCUAAUAUCGAUUUAUGCCAACUCAACAAACACCAUCGAAGACACCUGUAGAGCAUCUUUAUAGUCACCCAGUUACGUUGUGACAUUUGAUAGCACACUAAGUGUUCCUCCGAUAUUCGGGAGUUGCAUAAUCUCAUAGUCAUAGGAACAUGUAUAAGUCAUGAAGAAAGCAAUAUCAAUAAACUAACGAUCAUAGUGCUAAGCUAACAGAUUGGUCAAGUCAAUCAUAUCAUUCUCUAAUGAUGUGAUCCCGUUAAUCAAAUGACAACUCAUGUCUAUGGUUAGGAAACAUAACCAUCUUUGAUUAACGAGCUAGUCAAGUAGAGGCAUACUAGUGACACUUUGUUUGUCUAUGUAUUCACACAUGUACUAAUUUCCGGUUAAUAAAAUUUUAGCAUGAAUAAUAAACAUUUAUCAUGAUAUAAGGAAAUAUAAAUAACAACUUUAUUAUUGUCUCUAGGGCAUAUUUCCUUCAAAAUGGAUCUCAAGUGAAUCCUAAGUCUUAACCAUCUAGGAGGAACACACCCUCCAAUAGUAACAAGCAAAGCAAAGUCAAUCGUUGGAACUCCUCAAAAGCUCUUCAAGCAAAGCUUUUCUCAAGUACCCAUAGGAUCUCUCUCUCUCUCACACACACAUAGACACACACACACAAUAUGAGUGGUAUAAGAACAAAGGAACACUAGAUGUGGGGGUUCAAGAAGAAGAGAGGAGCUUGACCUUUAAAGAAUCAUGGAAGUGUUGUUGGAAUCACCCAACAACUUCCUUUUAUCCUUUGUUGCCUUGAGACUAUCUAGACUUGAACUUGUGUGAGUUGGGAUGGAAUGAGGUGGUUAACACAACAUAGGUCCAAUUCUAUAUAUAGAGAUCACAAAAAUCUUGUCGUUACUUGAAAAUGCAACUAGCCCGAAAGUAUCAGAAAAAACUUCUCGGAACUACUGGACAUGUUCAAUAGUUGAACGAUCGGAGGAUAUAUAAAAAAUGUAAGAGAAAAUAUUGUACUAUAAAGUUACGAGGUAAAGUAAAGCAAAGGUUCCGAACAACAAGACUAUUGUGGCUCUUUUCUACAAGAAUAGAAUAGACGUGAAAGAACCGGGUAAAGCCAGAUGCUCGGUAGUAUCAUAAUGAACAUAGUUCUCAAUAGAAAAAUGCAGAAAUGCCAAAGUCACAACUCCUAAGUACCAGGUGGAUUUGCAUGGAAGUACUAGAAUUAUACUGUGACCUAAUACAAAGGCAAACUGAAAAGGCCUCGAAAGUGCCAUGAAAAAUGUUAUGCUUGAAGGCGCCCGAGCUAACAAGAAGAGUUUCAAUGGAAACGAGGCUCAACAUAUAACAUUAUAAACAUGAGCGGCAGUUCCGACCUAUGAAAACUGGGUUUGCUGGGCAUGGACUCACUCUAUAUAGGGUCGGUAGUACCGGCUAGGAAAAUAAGUGGUAUCAGGAAUGUUUUGGAAGCAUAAGUAGUACAAAAAUUCAGGAUUUCUUUUGAGUUUGAAGUAAACAAGUGCCGAGUCUCUAAUACGUGUUUGCAUUGAUUUCAGGAUUUUUGGAAAACGAAGGAGGUGCAAGGGGUGCAAAGCAUGUCUUUUUGUCCACAACAUCGAUGUGGUUGAGCAUUUCUUGUCAUUGUAUAUGAGAAUGCACAUUUAUAUGCCACUAGGGUUCUACUUGCUAACUUCAAUCGUCAAAGAAGGCCUACUGAAAAAUCGUACUAGCAAUAAAUAUAUGAAGUAUGAAAAAUUUGGUAAUGUAAUGGAAUGUGAUGCAACGGAAUUAAAUGAUUAUAUGUAUUUCUGUGAUAGAUCAUUNNNNNNNNNNNNNNNNNNNNNNNNNNNNNNNNNNNNNNNNNNNNNNNNNNNNNNNNNNNNNNNNNNNNNNNNNNNNNNNNNNNNNNNNNNNNNNNNNNNNNNNNNNNNNNNNNNNNNNNNNNNNNNNNNNNNNNNNNNNNNNNNNNNNNNNNNNNNNNNNNNNNNNNNNNNNNNNNNNNNNNNNNNNNNNNNNNNNNNNNNNNNNNNNNNNNNNNNNNNNNNNNNNNNNNNNNNNNNNNNNNNNNNNNNNNNNNNNNNNNNNGACUACAUUCGUACGUAUAUGCGUCUUCAUGUGAGGCUCCAUCUGAAGUAUUAUACUGCUAUGAGUGAAUGCUUGAGCAUGUAUCGAUGUCAUAAAAUAUAACCUUGCGACGUUCCACACAUCUUGAAGGUAUAUUUGUCUUGCUGAUCACUAACAUACUAUAUACACUACAUCCAGCAGUACAAUCGUUGGAUUUAAAUACACAUGUGGCGACCACUGCGUUUGAUUCCAUAUUCUCUCCCACCCGAUUAUUGAACACGCAUCCCAGUACUGCACAUAGUGCUCGCAGUACAGCAACCUUAUAUUAUGAUAUGCAAUCUCCUCUCGGCUCUCGCCAACAACCAUCCCCUUUGCAAGCAUAUCACAUCUCACAUAUAAUAUACAGCAAAAUCCUGCAGCUAAAGACGACGACAUUCCUCUAACCAUGUGCAUCGAUCCGUAACAUAUAUUUCAUGCACUAUAGUAUCAUUUCCAUGACCACUCAACAGACCAGUUAGCUUAUUAGCUAGAUAGCUCGCUCGCGGACAACCCUUCAGUACACUUGUAGCUGUUAGACUCACUGACCAGACUUGUCCAUGGGAGCGCAACCAGCUCACGGGCAAGACAAACACAGUUGAGCUAGUGCAUCAAUGCAUCAUGCAGUCCUGUGCAAUUGAAACUUGCAUCUAUCCACGGAUGGUUCCAAGCUUGGUUGCUUUCUUUUUGUUCUUAAUAGUUCUAGCAGCUUUUGGGGCUAUACCUCAGAGCUCCUUUAAUUUGGUUUAAAACUUUAGAUAGUUUUUUCCAUCCUUCUUAUAUGUGCAUACGUUUCACAAAUUUUGCAAGAAAAAAAAACACAGUAGCUAGAGUAGAGUCCUACUGUUUGGACAAAAAAACAUCCGGGGCAGAUUACACGCUUUGAGCGAUCCGAAGUUCUGCAUGCAGCUGCCUAUCCAGGGAUGUGUAAGUAAGAUGCACCAGCUCAUGUACACAAGCUAAUAAGGCAUGCAGUAGUAGAUGCACUUACACCAUUGCAGAAAGCUUCUAUGGCCCCUUGCACCCUCUGGCCCUGGCCUAAUGGGGCAAGCAGCCAGCUGCUCAAUGCCAAGCAGAUGUUCAUAAAUCCCUCUGUAAAUGUCACCGUUGACAUCUAGCUAGCUCUACCUACUUGACUCCCUCGUGCAGGUAUUGCUCAGAGCAUGGUGCACUAUACUGGUGGUAACUGGACGUGACCAAUAUCUCUUCAUGUAGCUAACUGCUCUGCAGCUAGUUUCAUUGCGAGACUAUGACUUCUCUUGCAUAGAAGUUAACUCACCGGAUGGGCUUCUGGCGCCUUUUAUUCAAAGGUAGUGCAGUCCAAGGAUGGAAACAAAUCGAUCAUAGAUUAUAAGAGUGAUCAUUCAGGCCAGUACAAAGAAGAGAACGAUUACAACUUUACAAGAGUCUUUGGGUAUGUAUGUUACGGUUGGGAGAGGUAUUAGGAAGGAAACAAAAAGCUGCAUGGAGAAGAGAGAAGGGAAUAUGUGUGCUGUGGAGAAUGGAAUCAAACUAGUAUACUAGUCAUGCUGCCUGCGCUCCUGCUAGCUGCUAGCUAGCUGCAGGCGAUAUCAGUGCAAGCUGCAGUGGCAAUGGUGUAUCCUAGAGGGUGUUCUGCUGGCAUCACAUGCACGCGCAUGUGGUUUAAUUUUUAGUUCCACUGCUGGAAUGUGUCAGUGCAUGGCAGCUUAAUUUGUGGGCAGCGACGGGAAGAUGACAUCUUCCUCGUCACUUCCCAUGCAGUCGAGUCAGUUUGUGUCUACUCCAUUGUGAUCCUCCCUAAUAAUAUCUCUCUCGUUGUUGCUAGUACAAGCUGAUCAGGAUGACAUGCAAUGACACACACACACACACACACACACACACACACACACACACGCACAGAAACACACAACGAAUGCGCCAUAUGCAUGUGAACUAACUCAUCCAACAAAUAGGCUAAUUAAGCUAUUUGAGGACCAACACUACGAAGUUCUUUACACGUUUACUCUUUGCCACUUUACCACACCACGCCGCAUAUUAGUUAAGAUAAAGACGCCAGUGUACAUGUGCUUACAGAUUAAUUCGUUUUACACGACAGAUUCUCAAUAUUUGCUACUAUAUGGAAUUCCAUUAGUACACUAUAGGUGCUAAUGAAAAAUGAAUUACAUGUUUUUUCCUAUCCAUAUAUAGACUUAUUAUUAUGAAGCAUGCAUGAGGGAGUAAUUAGUUGUGAGCUUAGUUCAACAGUCAUAUAUUGAAAAAAAUUCUUUCAAUAAAGGGCAUUUUUAUUGACUUGUAAUAUAGCAUCAAGGGGAUACAAAUAAAAUGAUCAAGUAGGCACACAAUCUCUGCACGAUUAGGAUGCACACAUUUAACACCAACGCACACACACACAAAGGAUUAUGUCGGCAUAAAGCAAAAUCAUACAAGACCAAAGCUAUGCACAGACGAAAGAAAAAUACAAAGAAGAAAGGAAAAAAAAUAGCAACGAUGAUCCAUGCCAAGCAGCUGCUGACCCAACGAAGAUGAUGACAAGAGUCAGAAACAUUUCUGCCAUUUACGCAGGGGAUUGCAUGCAAGUGCAACCGCUAGUAGUGCGACGUUUUUGCAAAAUGCUUGAAGAUAAAGGUAGUCCGAUGAAACAACUAGGUGAACAAAUAUAAGCCAUACACAGGAAAAAUGACAUUGAAUUUCACACAUGUAUGCAAGUAAGCUCUUGAUUUUGAGUUCAACCCCCUGAUACAAAAUAUGACAAAUCAGUUGAGAUGAUGCUUCCUCUAGAGUACACCUUUAGACAUUUGCAAAGAGAAUUGACUUGCCCAAAUCAAUUAAAUCGACCGAAAUAAGAUUAAAAAAUGUAAAUAGCUCAAGCCAACGUUUCUACAGAGCAAGAAGAACAAAUAACUAAAUACAAGCGCUUGUACAAUGUUGUAGAAAUAAACAGGCAGAUGGAAUCACGGGCUCUAGUAUAGUUUUGGAUAGUCUCAAAGCCUAAGCUCAAGAUCUAGUUCCUCGGCCGGGGUGCUAGGACAAAGCUUAAGUACCUUCACACGACGAUUAUCAUCGUCGCCAUCAUCACGAGGAUCAUCACGUUGCAGAUGCUCACUAGAGGAAGAAUAAAGAACGAACUCGGUAGCCUCUAGAUCAAUCCUCCUCCUCUUGCGACAUAGAUGAACAAUCCUUUCAUCGUCUUCUUUAUCAUCUUCAAAGACACUUCUUGUUCGGCGGCCCAAAAGACCCAGCUUCAGCUCGCCACCCCCAACACGCAGUUCUUGCUCUGAACGUACCUCGGCAUCGUGAAGAAACACCUCUUUCUCACCAUGGUCUUGGGUGUCUGAUGGGGACACGAGAGGGGCGGCCAAGACUUGUUUGCCCCAAAUGGUUCUUGCAGUCGCAGCAUCCACCAACGAUCUCCCUGGAUCCGAAAGAAAACUGCGUACUGAAUUAGGGUUAGCUUCUGUGCUUGGAGCACUAGGUCUUGGAGGAGGGCACGGCAGCGGCUGGAUCAUGUAGCCUUGGUGCAGAGGCAUGCCAUGGACGUCGACGCCGCCCCCCUCCUCCACCAUCCCGGAGAGCUUGAGCCUGGCCCGGUCCCUCCGGUGGACGUUCAUGUGCCCACCGAGGGCCUGCGCAGACCGGAACUCUCGGCCGCAGAAGCUGCACGAGUAGGAUCUCGGCGGCCAGAUGCAGCCCCCGAGGCUCCCCGCGGAGUCCUGGGCGAACGCGCGCUCCUCCCACGACUCGUAGUAGGUGGCCGAGGAAGUGCCGCCGCCGCUGCCGACGGUGACGUGCGGCGUGCUGAAGACGGCAGGCGCCUUCUGAUCACCCUGCUUUCUCCUGGUUAUCAUCCAGUACUUUGCUGGAUCCAUGAGAUGACGCUCCUAGCUACCAGCUACGACUCCUCUUGACUACUACAAGUGCUCUGGGAUGUCAAGGAUGUCAAGACCAUGGGAGGUGCUUGAUGGCGGAGAGGUGGGUGGUCGGAGUCUAAGAUGAAGCAGGACAAGAGUACAUAUCAAAUCUACAGGUGUGAGAGGAAGCCGGAGGGAAGGGAGAAGCUGCAAGGGUUGCUUGAUUUGCUUGCCUUUACGGAUGCAAGCAACCUGACUCACCUUUCGUUGUCUGUAGUACCCUAGUGGGUCCUGGCCCUAUCUUUUCUUCACACAUCCAGUUUGUCACAGGAAGUGUGACUGUUUCUGAAACGAAAAGUGGCAUCUUAUUCAAAUCCCAGAUCAGUGUUAAUUUGGUAGCUAGUGCAACUAGUUACAAGGUUUAACGAUAUUUAACCUGAGUGCUGCACGGCAACGAAAGGGGUGGUAUCCGUCUCUAUCUAGUCUUUGAUGGCGAUACUUGACUGGGUGUCAAUAAUUGCAAGCAAAGCUUAUUUCCGCUAAUUACGGUCACUGCCACAUACUGUUAUAAACAGCUUAAUCCAGUCUAGCACCAGGGGUUUGAUACCCCAGGAGUUGGUGGUCGAAACCAUGUUGGGUGGGAGCGAUGAAACUCGAAAUCAUGAAAGUCGGAUCCAUGAUCCAAGACUAGGGGUUCGUUACCCUCGAAGCAAGAAAUGUCGGAAUGCCCAUGUUGGCCGGGAAGAAUGAUGCUUAGAAUCAUGAAAGUUAGAUCCAUGAUCCAUGACUAGGGAUUUGAUACUCCGGAAGUCGGAAAGGUCGAAAUGCCCAUGUUGGCUGGGACAGUUGAUGCGCGGAUCGGAUCCAUGAUCCAAGACCAAGGAUUCAAGAUCCCUGAUGUUGGUUCGGUUGGAUGACCAAGUUGGCCCGGUCGGUUUUCUACGAAAUGAGAAUAGUCGGAUCCAUGAGCCAAGACCAGGGGUUUGAUACCACGGAAGUUGGAAAGGUCGAAAUGACAUGUUGGAUGUGGCAGAUGAUUCCCAGAAUUAUGGAAUCGAAUCCAUGAUACAAGAACAGGGGAUCAACUCUGGAAUUCAGAUUGGUCCAAAUUCCCAUGUUGGCUAGGAGGGAUAAUCCUCGAAAUCAUGAAAGUUGGAUCCAUGAUCUAAUACUAGGGGUUCGAGACACUCAGAAUUGUUCGGUUCAAUGACCAAGUUGGCCCAAUCAGAUGUUUGAUGAUUUGAUAAAGUCAUAUCCAUGCUCUAUGGCUAGGGGCUCGAGGCCCCAGAUGCUAGUUCAGUGGGACACCUGAGUUUGUCCAAUCGGUUGUGCUAGAAGUGAUAAAAGUAUGAUCUAUGACCCAUGACUUAGGGAAUGAUACCCAUGGGUUGGGACAACUGGUAGCCACAGAAAUGGACCAGCUGGUUAUCUAGAAAGGUUUUGGAGGAGUGCGAAAAAUCAUAAAGUGGAUGCGCCGCCCAGGAAAGAAGAGAUGAAGGGCCCCACAUCUUGAGGUCACCCUGGACCAGGCGGAUGGUUUGAGAGUCCUGGCCAAAAUAGAAGCCUUGAGAGGUGGGAUCCUCGACCUAGGUGUUGAGACGACAACAACAAGAACAUGACCCCUUCACACCAACAUGAUGAAGAAGAUGAAAUUCAAAGGAACGCCAUGAUACGUCUCAAAUGUAUAUAUAACUUUUGCUUAUUUGAUGCUACUUUUAUAUCAUAAUUGCAUAGAUUUGGCACAGAUUAAUUCAAUGCCCAGAGCUAUUUGUUGUUUUCUAUUGUCUAGGAAACUCAAUUUUCCAGGGACAAAAAAAUCAACAAAAAUACGUUGUAAAGUUUCACGUAAGGAUGAACCCAAAGGCACUUGUGCGCACCUAGGGGUUGUUGUCCCCACACGCCAUGCUGGCAUGGCCAGUUGGCACGUGGUAGGGCCGCAUGGGUAGCCCCCUCCCCACCGCUUUCCCACUACACCUGGGUGCAUGUGCCUUUAUAUUUUUUCGAAAGCCCUUGUCGAAUUUAUCAAGGUUUUUUCUGCCGUUGCACCUCUCUGUUCUACCAUGAUCCAACUGGAGGCUUGUUAUGGUACUCUACCGGAGGUGGAAUCCAUCACCGAAGCUACAUUCAUCAACCCUGAUGACACCAUGACCAUGUCUGAGUUGUCCUUCAUGGACUAUGGUCCAUAGUAACAGCUAUACUGCAUCUUCUCUCCCUAGUUCUUCAAUACAAACAUCUCAUGAGCUGCGAUGUUUAGAUGCUCUAGGUCAAUUUAAUGUAAUACUCCGUUUUACUUAAUACUUUGAAAUGCAUACUAGAUAGCGGUCUUGGGGAGAAGUAUUAGCUAUAGAUGCAAUUGGAUAAUGGUCUAUAGAUAUAGGGACGUAAUGCCUAUAUGCAAUCAUGUCAUGAAUGAUCAAAAGUUUGCUUUUCUGCUUUCCAAAUAACUCAAAAAUACCAAAAAUAUCGAAAUUUCAGCAUGUUAGCAACUCUAUUGGCACAUAAAGGAAAUAAAAGUUAUCUUCCAAACUUUUGAAAAAUCUUACAUACUUAGAACCAAUGGCUAAUAAUGAAAAAGAUAAAUAAGAAAAUUUUAUUGGGUUGUUCUCAGCAAAUACUAAGUAUAAUUGGGAUAUACACGAUAAACUUUAUGAUUAGUGAUGAAGAUGUUGAAUUUUAUGAUGGAGGAAAUUUGAUGAUUUUACGGUGACACUAUGUUUGUAGGCACUAUGGAGGAUGAUUAUGUUAUGCCUUCUACUUGGUAUAAUCAUCAUGAUUGGGGAGGCAAUUAUGACACCUCUUGUGGCCUUAAAAUUUACUUGAGACCUAUGAUGAAUCUAUAAUUGAUAAAAAAUAUCAUUAAAAGGGGCUUGGAGAGGUCAUACCUUUAGGUAGUGAUGAUCGUACUAAUUUGGAGAGUGUUCAGUAUGGUUGCAAUAUUAAUAAAAUUGGGUUUGAACAGGUCAUAACUUUAGUUACUAUUGAUCCCACUAUUUGGAGAGUGAUAAAUGAAUGUGGAUAAUUAGGAAAGUUGCGUAGGUGAUAGCUAUAUUAUUGACUUUGAUUAUGAUCCCACAUGCAAUUACUCUGAGAGAGGGAAGUAUGACCAUAGAAAUCUUCAUACAAAUAAAUAACCUCUCUUUAUGUUGAAAGAUUUAAAGUUUCACUCUUCUCUCUUGCCUAUGCUAGGGAUUGCUUGUCCCAAUGAUUCGUUUACUUAUAAUAUGCAUAUGCAUAGGAAGUGUGUUAGACUUAAAUAUGAUUGGUAUAUGCUUUUUGAUGCUUUCUUUUAUGCUUCAAUCAUAUUUUCAUGUGAGCAUCAUUAAAAUAUUAAGCCUAUCUUAAUGGCUAUGAAGAAAGAGCUUGCGAGAGACAACCCAUAAUUAUCCUUAAUAAAGUUUUUACUUACUGUGGCAACACUCUUUUUUAUGUAUGUUUUCAAUAAAGUGCCAGGGAUAGCCUUUAGCAUGUUAAGUUUGCACAUUCGUGUGUUGUUGUGCUGAAACAGGAAUUUUUCUGCUACUAAAAACAGCAACCAGUAGUUGAUAAAGUUACAAAAUUUUAACACGGUACACAUACAUGAGUUCUCUGUUAAGUGCUAAUUUUAAGAAUUUUUGAGUUAUAGAUGUAUGAAAAAAAUAUUUCUUUUCUGACAGCUCUAUUUUGACAUAUUUCUGCUAUAGAUUCCUUUAACUGUGUAUGUUUGCAUUCUAUUGGUCCUAUAGUGGUGUGAGAAUUUUAAAACGGUGUUAACAUAUAGUGGAAAAGGUUGAAUUGUAAUUAUUUUAUGGAUCUACAACAAAUCUUCAUAAGAAUUAAGUUUUUUAUACUAACCCUCCUGGCAAGUUAUAUGAAAGUUUUGUGUGGAUGAAGUUUUUAAGACUUAGGUGAGAUAGUGAUAUGAGAAGAAUAAGGAGAUGAAGCGCUAAAGCUUGGGGAUGCUCAAGGCAGCCAAAGGGAUAUUCAGGAAUAUUCAGGAAUUCUCAAGCAUCUAAGCUUAGGGAGGCCCCAAGUCACCCCCCUUCUUCAUCAACAAUUAUCAGUUUGUCUCGGUUGGACCUAUUUUUAUUUGUUCACAUGGUAUCUGUUACUGUUGGAGCAUCAUUUUGUUUUCUUUUUUGUUUUUUCUUGCUGAUAUUAAACAAUCAUCACAUCAAAACAAAUUUACUAUGGAGGGCUUUACAUGGUUAUGUAUUUAGAAUUGCUCUUUUGCUUCACUUAUAUUUGUUAGAGCAUGACAGAAUCCAAUUAAUAAAUGGAAAUCUCUUGCUUCACUUAUAUCUUUUUGGAGAGUUGGAUAGUAAUUGGUUGUCAGCAUGGAUUAAUAUGUUGAUACUAAAAUUUAUAAGCAUGCAAUUGUGGUAUAAAUGAAAACUUGUGUGAGCUAUUUGUAAAGGUUAUAAACUUGAGAAUUGGAUUCUUUGCAAUUCUUUUGAGAUAAUGAGGUAAUAAUAGAUGAACAUGUUGGUAAAUAGUUGGCGCUUAUCAGUGAUAGGUGUUGUUAAUGGUGGAUCAUGGUGCGUGUCUUUCAUUAGUCAACCUAAGUUGGGAAAUAUGCUGCUCGCAUCAAUCCACAUCGAAGUGGUAGUUGUAACUAAGCAUGUGACUUUGGUUUAGGAUUUAUUCUGCUAAAGUACUCCCCCAUUCUUUGUUGAUGCCAUAAAACUUGUAAUAAGAAUUUGAGUUUUUCAUGUGUAUUUUCCGGUUGGAACUUUUUAUGCACUUCUACUCUAUCCAUAUUUGCUAGCCUAUUCGGUGUUGAGCAUUGAUACGUCUCCAUCAUAUCUACUUUUCCAAAUUCUUUUGCCCUUGUUUUGGACUCUAAUUUGCAUGAUUUGAAUGGAACUAAUCCGGACUGACACUGUUUUCAGCAGAAUUACCAUGGUGUUAUUUUUGUGUAGAAAUAAAAGUUCAUGGAUUGGCAUGAAAAUUUACGAAGAAUUUUUGUGGAAUAUAUAAAAAAUACUGGUGCAAGAAUUAACCAGAGGGGGUCCACCUAGAGGCCACAAGCUUGGGGGCACGCCUAGAGGGCUUAUGGCCCCCCUAGACCUCCUCUGACCCUAACUCCAACUCUAUAUAACCCUAUUCGGGGAGAAAAAUCAGAGAGAAGGAUUCGUCCUGUUUUACGAUAUGGAGCCGCCGCCUCCUGUUCUUCAUCGGGAGGGCUGAUCUGGAGUCCGUUCGGGGCUCCAGAGAGGGGGAUUCGUCGCCAUCGUCAUCAUCAACCUUCUCCAUCACCAAUUUCAUGAUGCUCACCGCCGUGCGUGAGUAAUUCCAUCAUAGGCUUGCUGGACGGUGAUGGGUUGGAUGAGAUUUAUCAUGUAAUCGAGUUAGUUUUGUUAGGGUUUGACCCCUAGUAUCCACUAUGUUAUGAGAUUGAUGUUGCUAUGACUUUGCUAUGCCUAAUGCUUGUCACUAGGGCCCGAGUGCCAUGAUUUCAGAUCUAAACCUAUUAUGUUUUCAUGAAUAUAUUUAUGUUCUUGAUCUUAUGCAAGUUGUAGACACAUAUUAUGAAUUAUGAUCCGCAUGCUCCAAGGUGACAAUAAUUGGGAUUCUUUUCGGUGAUUACUGUAGUUUGAGGAGUUCAUGUAUUCACUAAGGGCUAAUGCUUUGUUUCGGUUCUCUAUUAAAAGGAUGCCUUAAUAUCCCUCAGUUUCCAUUAGGACCCCGCUGCCACGGGAGGGUUGGACAAAAGAUGUCAUUCAAGUUCUUUUUCAUAAGCACGUAUGACUAUAUACGGAAUACAUGCCUACAUUAUAUUGAUGAAUUGGAGCUAGUUCUGUGUCACCCUAGGUUGUGACUGCUACAUGAUGAAUCAUCCAACACAAUUAUCAUUGCUGAUCCAAUGCCUACGAGAUUUUCACAUAUUGAUCUUUGCUAAGUUACUUUCAUUGCUAUUGCUGUUACAAUCACUACAAAACUGCUACUGUUACUUUUGCCAUCAUUACCGUUACUUCCAUACUACUUUGCUACUAAAUACUUUCCUGCAGAUAUUAAAUCUGUCAGGUGUGGUUGAAUUCACAACUCAACUACUAAUACUCGUGAAUAUUCUUUGGCUCCCCUUGUAUCGAAUCAAUAAAUUUGGGUUGAAUACUCUACCCUCGAAAACUGUUGCGAUCCCCUAUACUUGUGGGUUAUCAAGACCUUUUUCUGGCGCCGUUGCCGGGGAGCAUAGCUCUGUUCUCCGAGUCACUUGGGAUUUAUAUCUUUUGAUCACUAUGAAGAAUUUGAAAGAUACCAAAACCAAGAUUUUUCCCUCUAGGACGAGGGGCGGCAAGGAACUGCCAUCUAGCUCUACACUUGAUUCACCUUUAGUUUUGAGUAAUCUUGCGACACCUACAUCUGCUAUUGAUUUUGAUAUGUUGCAAGUAAUUGAUGAUGCCACUUCUGCUAUGCAUGAUGCUUAUGAUGAUACUACUACUUUGCUUGAUAAUACUUUGCCACUGGGUGAAUUUCUUGAUGAACAACUUGCUAGAGCUAAAGAUAUUGAGAGUUGAAAUUGAUGAUAUCUUUGGAACUGAUGAAAUUAUUGAAACUAAACACUUUAAAACACCUGCUAGACCUAGCUCUCCUAAUAUGAAUUUCCUGUUAUACCUAAGGGUUAUGUUAUGGAUGGAGAGGUAGCUAGGGACUUUCUUGCUUGUAAAGAUAGAGAGGAUCUUAAUGAAGGAAAUAUGCCCUAGAGGCAAUAAUAAAGUUGUUAUUUAUAUUUCCUUAUAUCAUGAUAAAUGUUUAUUAUUCAUGCUAGAAUUGUAUUAACCGGAAACUUAGUACAUGUGUGAAUACAUAGACAAACAGAGUGUGACUAGUAUGCCUCUACUUGACUAGCUCAUUGAAUCAAAGAUGGUUAAGUUUCCUAGCCAUAGACAUGAGUUGUCAUUUGAUUAAUGGGAUCACAUCAUUAGAGAAUGAUGUGAUUGACUUGACCCAUUCCGUUAGCUUAGCAUUCGAUCGUUUAGUAUAUUGCUAUUGCUUUCUUCAUGACUUAUACAUGUUCCUAUGACUAUGAGAUUAUGCAACUCCCGAAUACCGGAGGAAGACUUUGUGUGCUACCAAACGUCACAACGUAACUGGGUGAUUAUAAAGGUGCUCUAUAGGUGUGUCCGAUGGUACUUCUUGAGUUGGCAUAGAUCAAGAUUAGGGUUUGUCACUCCGAUUGUCGGAGAGGUAUCUCUAGGCCCUCUCGGUAAUGCACAUCACUAUAAGCCUUGAAAGCAAUGCACUAAUGAGUUAGUUGCGGGAUGAUGUAUUACGAAAUGAGUAAAGAGACUUGCCGGUAAUGAUAUUGAGGUAGGUAUUGACAUACCGACGAUCGAAUCUCGGGCAAGUAACAUACCGAUGAUAAAGGGAACAACGUAUGUUGUUAUGCGGUUUGAUCGAUAAAGAUCUUCAUAGAAUAUGUAGGAGCCAAUAUGAGCAUCCAGGUUCUGCUAUUGGUUAUUGACCGGAGACAUGUCUCGGUCAUGUCUACAUAGUUCUCGAACCCGUAGGGUCCGCACGCUUAAAGUUCGGUGACGAUCGGUAUUAUGAGUUUGUGUGUUUUGAUGUACCGAAGGUAGUUAGGAGUCCCGGAUGAGAUCAGGGACAUGACGAGGAGUCUCGAAAUGGUCGAGACAUAAAGAUGAAUAUAUUGGACGACUAUAUUCGGACAUCGGAAAGGUUCCGAGUGAUCCGGGUAUUUUUCGGAGUACCGGGGGAGUUACGGGAAUACGGGCGUACAUAUGGGCCUUAGUGGGCUUUAAGGGAAAAGAGGAGAAGCCACGAGGGCUAGGCACGCGCCCCCCAUGGGCCUAGUCCGAAUUCGACUAGGGGAGGGGCUGCGCCCCCUCUUUCCUUCUCCUCCCCUUCUUCUUCCUUCCCCUCCUAGUAGGACUAGGAAAUGAGGAAUCCUAGUCCUACUAGGAGGAGGAUUCCUCCCCCCUUUGGCGCGCCUAGAGAGGCCGACCGGCCUCCCCUUGCUCCUUUAUAUACGGGGGCAGGGGCACCCCAUGGACACACAAGUUGAUUGUUCCAAGCCGUGUGCGGUGCCCCCCUCCAUCAUAAUCCACCUCGAUCAUAUCGUAGAGGUGCUUAGGUGAAGCCCUGCGUCGGUAGCAACAUCAUCACCGUCAUCACGCCGUCGUGCUGACGGAACUCUCCCGUGAAGCUCUGCUGUAUCGGAGUUCGUGGGACAUCAUCGAGCUGAACGUGUGCUGAACUCGAAGGUGCCGUACGUUCGGUACUUGGAUCGGUCGAAUCGUGAAGAUGUACGACUACAUCAACCGCGUUCUCAUAACGCUUCUGCUUACGGUCUACAAGGGUACAUGGAGAAUACUCUCCCCUCUCGUUGCUAUGCAUCACCAUGAUCUUGCGUGUGCGUAGGAAUUUUUUUUGAAAUUACUACGUUGUGCAACAGUGGCAUCCGAGCCAGGUUUUAUGCGUAGAUGUUAUAUGCACGAGUAGAACACAAGUGAGUUGUGGAUGAUAAAAGUCAUACUGCUUAGCAGCAUGUCACACUUUGGUUCGGCGGUAUUAUUGGAUGAAGCAACCCGGACCGACAUUACGCGUACGCUUACGCAAGACUGGUUCUACCGACGUGCUUUGCACACAGGUGGCUGGCGGGUGUCAGUUUCUCCAACUUUAGUUGAACCGAGUGUGGCUAUGCCCGGUCCUUGCGAAGGUUAAAACAACACUAACUUGACGAACUAUCGUUGUGGUUUUGAUGCGUAGGUAAGAACGGUUCUUGCUCAGCCCGUAGCAGCCACGUAAAACUUGCAACAACAAAGUAGAGGACAUCUAAGUUCUUUUUGCCGGGCUUGUUGUGAUGUGAUAUGGUCAAGACGUGAUGAGAUAUAAGUUGUUGUAUGAGAUGAUCAUGUUUUGUUGAAGUUAUCGGCAACUGGCAGAAGCCUUAUGGUUGUCUCUUUAUUGCAUAAGAUGCAAGCGCCAAAUAAUUGCUUUACUUUAUCGCUAUGCGAUAGCAAUAGUUGCAAGAGCAAUAGUUGGCGAGACGACCAUGUGAUGGCAUGUUGAUAGAGAUCAAGAUGAUGGAGAUCAUGGUGUCAUGCCGGUAACGAUAGAGAUCAUGACGGUACUUUGGGGAUGGAGAUCAAAGGCACAAGAUGAUCAUGGCCAUAUCAUGUCACAUAUUUUGAUUGCAUGUGAUGUUUAUCUUUUAUUCAUCUUAAUUUGCUUAGUUCUACGGUAGCUUUAUAAGAUGAUCUCUCACUAAAUUUCAAGGUAAAAGUGUUCUCCCUGAGUAUGCACCGUUGCCAAAGUUCGUCGUGCUGAGACACCACGUGAUGAUCGGGUGUGAUAAGCUCCACGUUCAUCUACAACGGGUGUAAGACAGUUUUGCACAUGCAAAAUACUCGGGUUAAACUUGACGAUCCUAGCAUAUGCAGAUAUGGCCUCGGAACACUGGAGACCGAAAGGUCGAGCGUGAAUCAUAUAGUAGAUAUGAUCAACAUAGUGAUGUUCACUAUUGUAAACUACUCCAUCUCACGUGAUGAUCGGACAUGGUUUAGUUGAUAUGGAUCACGUGAUCACUUAGAUGAUUAGAGGGAUGUCUAUCUAAGUAGGAGUUCUUAAGUAAUAUGAUUAAUUGAACUUAAAUUUAUCAUGAACUUAGUCCUGAUAGUAUUUGCAUAUCUAUGUUGUAGAUCAAUAGCUCGCACAUAGCUUCCCCGUUUAUUUUUGAUAUGUUCCUAAAGAAAAAUAAAUUGAAAGAUGUUAGUAGCAAUGAUGCGGAUUGGCUCCGUGAUCUGAGGAUUACCCUCAUUGCUGCACAGAAGAAUUAUGUCCUUGAUGCACCGCUAGGUGACGGACCUAUUGUAGGAGCAUAUGCAUACGUUAUGAACGUUUGGCAAAGCUCGGUAUGAUGACUACUUGAUAGUUUAGUGCACCAUGCUUUAUGGCUUAGAACCGGGAUUUCAAAAAUGUUUUGAACGCUGCAGAGCAUAUAAGAUGCUCCAAGAGUUGAAAUUAGUGUUUCAUACUCAUGCCCGUGUCAAGAGGUAGGAGACCUCUGACAGUACUUUGCCUACAAAGAUGGAGGAGAAUAGAUCAACCAGUGAGCAUGUGCUCAGAUUGUAUGGUACUGCAAUUUAUUGAAUCAAGUGGGAGUUAAUCUUCCAGAUAAGAUAGUAAUUGACAAAGUUCUCUAGUCACUAUCACCAAGUUACUAGAACUAAGUGAUGAACUAUAAUAUGCAAGGGAUAACGGAAACGAUUCCCAAGCUCUUCGUGAUGCAGAAAUCGACGAAGGUGGAAAUCAAGAAAAGCAUCAAGUGUUGAUGGUUGACAAGACCACUAGUUUGAAGAAAAGGGCAAAGGGAAGAAGGAGAACUUCAAGAAGAAUGGAAAACAAGUUGCUGCUCAAGUGAAGAAGCCCAAGUCUAGAUCUAAGCUUGAGACUAAGUGCUUCUACUGCAAAGGGACUGGUCACUGGAAGCAGAAUUGCCCCAAGUAUUUGGCGGAUAAGAAGGAUGACAAAGUGAACAAAGGUAUAUUUGAUAUACAUGUUAUUGAUGUGUACUUUACUAGUGUUUAUAGCAACCCCUUAGUAUUUGAUACUAGUUCAGCUGCCAAGAUUAGUAACUCGAAAUGGGAGUUGUAGAAUGAACAGAAACUAGUUUAAGGGUGAAGUGACGAUGUGUGUUGGAAGUAGUUCCAAGAUUGAUAUGAUCAUCAUCGCACACUCCCUAUACUUUUGGGAUUAGUGUUGAACCUAAAUAAGUGUUAUUUGGUGUUUGCGUUGAGCAUGAAUAUGAUUUGAUCAUGUUUAUUGCAAUACGGUUAUUCAUUUAAGUUAGAGAAUAAUUGUUGUUCUGUUUACAUGAAUAAAACCAUAUAUGGUCAUACACCCAAUGAAAAUGGUUUGUCGGAUCUCGAUCGUAGUGAUACACAUAUUCAUAAUAUUGAAGCCAAAAGAUGCAAAGUUAAUAAUGAUAGUGCAACUUAUUUCUGGCACUGUCGUUUAGGUCAUAUUGGUGUAAAGCGCAUGAAGAAACUCCAUGCUGAUGGGCUUUUGGAAUAACUUGAUUAUGAAUCACUUGAUGCUUGCGAACCAUGCCUCAUGGGCAAGAUGACUAAAACUCCAUUCUCCGGAACAAUGGAGCAAGCAACUGACUUAUUGGAAAUAAUACAUACUGAUGUAUGCAAUCCGAUGAGUGUUGAGGCUCGCGGCGGGUAUCGUUAUUUUCUGAUCUUCAUAGAUGAUUUGAGCAUAUAUGGGUAUAUCUACUUGAUGAAACAUAAGUCUGAAAAACAUUUGGAAAGUUCAAAGAGUUUUAGAGUGAAGUGGAAAAUCAUCGUAACAAGAAAAUAAAAUUUCUACAAUCUGAUCGUAGAGGAGAAUAUUUCAAUUACGAGUUUCGUCUUCAUUUGAAACAAUGUGGAAUAGUUUCGCAACUCAUGCCACCUAGAACACCAUAGUGUAAUGGUGUGUCCGAAUGUCGUAUCGCACUUUACUAGAUAUGGUGUGAUCUAUGAUGUCUCUUACUGAUUUACCGCUAUCGUUUUGGGGUUAUGCAUUAGAGACAGUUGCAUUCACGUUAAAUAGGGCACCAUCUAAAUCCGUUGAGAUGACACAGUAUGAACUAUGGUUUGGCAAGAAACAAAAGCUGUCAUUUCUUAAAGUUUGGGGUUGCGAUGCUUAUGUGAAAAAGUUUCAAAUUGAUAAGCUCGAACCCAAAUCAGAGUAGUGCGUCUUCAUAGGAUACGCAAAAAGAAACUGUUGGGUACACCUUCUAUCACAGAUCCGAAGGCAAGACAUUUGUUGCUAAUAAUGGAUCCUUUCUAGGGAAGGAAUUUCUCUUGAAAGAAGUGAGUGGGAGGAAAGUAGAACUUGAUAAGGUAAUUGUACCUUCUCCCGAAUUGGAAAGUAGUUCAUCACAGAAAUCAGUUCUAGUGAUUCCUAUACCAAUUAGUGAGGAAGCUAAUGAUGAUGAUCAUGAAACUUCAGAUCAAGUUACUACCGAACCUCGUAGGUCAACCAGAGUACGGUCCGCACCAGUGUGGUACGAUAAUCCCGUUCUGGAAGUCAUAUUACUAGACCAUGACGAACCUACAAACUAUGAGGAAGCAAUGAUGAGCCCAGAUUCCACAAAAUGGCUUGAGGCUAUGAAAUCUGAGAUGUGAUCCAUGUAUGAGAACAAAGUAUGGACUUUGAUUGACUUGCCCGUUGAUCGGUGAGUCAUUGAGAAUAAAUGGAUCUGCAAGAGGAAGACAUAUGUUGAUAGUAGUGUUACUAUCUACAAAGCUCGAAUUGUCGCAAAAUGUUUUUGACAAGUUCAAGGUGUAGACUACGAUGAGAUUUUCUCACUCGUAUCGAUGCUUAAAAGUCUGUCCGAAUCAUGUUAGCAGUUGCCGCAUUUUAUGAAAUCUGGCAAAUGGAUGUGAAAACUGCAUUCUUUAAUGGAUUUCUCAAAGAAGGGUUGUAUAUGAUGCAACCAGAAGGUUUUGUCGAUCCUAAAGGUGUUAACAAAGUGAGCAAGCUCCAGCGAUCCAUCUAUGGACUGGUGCAAGCAUCUCGGAGUUGGAAUAUAUGCUUUGAUAAAGUGAUCAAAGAACAUUGUUUUAUACAGACUUGCGGUGAAGCCUGUAUUUACAAGAAAGUGAGUGGGAGCACUAUAGCAUUUCUGAUAAGUAUAUGUGAAUGACAUAUUGUUGAUCGGAAAUAAUGUAGAAUUUUUUGGAAAGCAUGAAGGAGUGUUUGAAAGGAUUUUUUGAAGAAAGAUCUUGGAGAAGCUACUUACAUAUUGAGCAUCAAGAUCUAUAGAGAUAGAUCAAGACGCUUGAUAUAUUUUCAAUGAGUACAUACCUUGACAAGAUUUUGAAGUAGUUCAAAACAGAACAUUCAAAGAAGGAGUUCUUGCCUAUGUUGCAAGGUGUGAAGUUGAGUAAAGACUCAAAAACCCGACCACAGUAGAAAAUAGAAAGAUAAUGAAAAGUCAUUCCCUAUGCCUUAGUCAUAGGUUCUAUAAAGUAUGCCAUGCUGUGUACCAGACCAAUUGUGUACCUCACCAUAAGUUUGGCAAGAGGGUACAAUAGUGAUCCAGGAAUGGAUCACUAGACAGCAGUCAAAAAUAUCCUUAGUGGAAUAAGGAAAUGUUUCUCGGUUAUGGAAGUGACAAAGAGUUCGUCGUAAAGAGUUAUGUCGAUGCAAGCUUUGACACCGAUCUGGAUGACUAAGUAUCGAUCUAGAUACAUAUUGAAAGUGGGAGCAAUUAGCUAGAGUAGCUCCGUGCAAAGCAUUGCAGACAUAGAAAAUUUGCAAAACACAUACGGCUCUGAAUGUGGCAGACCCGUUGACUAAAUUUCUCUCACAAGCAAAACAUGAUCACUCUUUGGGUGUUAAUCACAUAGCGAUGUGAACUAGAUUAUCGACUCUAGUAAACCCUUUGGGUGUUAGUCACAUGGAGAUGUGAACUAAUCACAUAAAGAUGUGAAAUAUUGGUGUUAAAUCACAUAACGAUGUGAACUAGAUUAUUGACUCUAGUGCAAAUGGGAGACUGAAGGAAAUAUGCCCUAGAGGCAAUAAUAAAGUUGUUAUUUAUAUUUCCUUAUAUCAUGAUAAAUGUUUAUUAUUCAUGCUAGAAUUGUAUUAACCGAAAACUUAGUACAUGUGUGAAUACAUAGACAAACAGAGUGUCACUAGUAUGCCUCUACUUGACUAGCUCGUUGAAUCAAAGAUGGUUAAGUUUCCUAGCCAUAGGCUUGAGUUGUCAUUUGAUUAACGGCAUCACAUCAUUAGAGAAUGAUGUGAUUGACAUGACCAUUCCGUUAGCUUAGCAUUUGAUCGUUUAGUAUAUUGGUAUUGCUUUCUUCAUGACUUAUACAUGUUCCUAUGACUAUGAGAUUAUGCAACUCCCGAAUACCGGAGGAACACUUUGUGUGCUACCAAACGUCACAACGUAACUGAGUGAUUAUAAAGGUGCUCUACAGGUGUCUCCGAUGGUACUUGUUGAGUUGGCAUAGAUCAAGAUUAGGAUUUGUCACUCCGAUUGUCAGAGAGGUAUCUCUGGGCCCUCUCAGUAAUGCACAUCACUAUAAGCCUUGCAAGCAAUGCAACUAAUGAGUUAAUUGCGGGAUGAUGCAUUACAGAACGAGUAAAGAGACUUGCCGGUAAUGAGAGUGAGCUAGGUAUUGAGAUAUCGACGAUCGAAUCUCAGGCAAGUAACAUACCGAUGACAAAGGGGACAACGUAUGUUGUUAUGCGGUUUGACCGAUAAAGAUCUUCGUAGAAUAUGUAGGAGCCAAUAUGAGCAUCUAGGUUCUGCUAUUGGUUAUUGACCGAAGACAUGUCUCAGUCAUGUCUACAUAGUUCUCGAACCCGUAGGGUCCGCACGCUUAAAGUUCGGUGACGAACGGUAUUAUGAGUUUAUGUGUUUUGAUGUACCGAAGGUAGUUUGGAGUCCCGGAUGAGAUCGGCAACAUGACAAGGAGUCUCAAAAUGGCCGAGACGUAAAGAUUGAUAUAUUGGACGACUAUAUUCGGACAUCGGAAAGGUUUCGAGUGAUACGGAUAUUUCUCGGAGUACCGGGGGAGUUACGGGAAUACGGGAGUACAUAUGGGCCUUAGUGGGCUUUAAGGGAAAAAGAGGAGAAGCCACGAGGGCUAGCCGCGCGCCCCCAUGGGCCUAGUCCGAAUUGGACUAGGGGAGGGGUUGUGCCCCCUCUUUCCUUCUCCUCCCCUUCUCCCUCCUUCCCUCCUAGUAGGACUAGGAAAGGAGGAAUUAUACUCCUAUUAGGAGGAGGAUUCCUCCCCCUUUGGCGCGCCUAGAGAGGCCGGCUGGCCUCCCCUUGCUCCUUUAUAUAUGGGGGCACCCCAUAGACACACAAGUUGAUUGUUCCAAACCGUGUGUGGUGCCCCCUCCACCAUAAUCCACCUCGAUCAUAUCGUAGUGGUGCUUUGGCGAAGCCCUGAGUCGGUAGCAACAUCAUCACCGUCAUCACGUCAUCGUGCUGACGGAACUCUCCCGUGAAGCUCUGCUGGACCGGAGUUCAUGGGACGUCAUCGAGCUGAACGUGUGCUGAACUUGGAGGUGCCGUACGUUCGGUACUUGGAUCGGUCGGAUCGUGAAGACAUACGACUACAUCAACCACGUUCUCAUAACGCUUCCGCUUAUGGUCUACGAGGGUACGUGGACAAUACUCUCCCCUCUCGUUGCUAUGCAUCACCAUGAUCUUGCGUGUCCGUAGGAAAUUUUUGAAAUUACUACGUUGUCCAACACUUAAGAUAUUGCUCGUCAAGUUGAAGAAAAAUCUCUGAAUGCUAGAAUGUAAUAUGAUCCUAAAUUUGUUACUUCACCUAUCUUUUUACUGAUAAGGAUUAUGAAUUCUCUGUCGAUUCUGAGUUAAUUACUUUGGUUGAAUCUGAUCCUUUCCAUGGUUAUGAGUCAGAAACUGUUGUGGCACAUCUUACUAAAUUAAAUGACAUAGCCACCCAAUUUGCUCAUGAGGAAAAAAUUCGCUUUUGUUAUAUUCUCAAGUUGUUUCCUUUCUCUUUAAAGGGUGAUGCUAAGAUAUGGUUUAAUUCUCUUUCUCCUGGUUGUGUGCGUAGUCCCCAGGAUAUGAUAUACUACUUCUCUAAAAAAUAUUUUCCUGCUCAUUGAAGAAGAGACUCUCCCACAAGUUGAUUUACAGGAAAUUUUUAACUUUGUGCAAAUUGAAGAAGAGACUCUCCCACAAGCUUGGGGGAGGCUUCUCCAAUUACUUAAUGAUUUGCCUGAUCAUCCACUACUAGGGAAAACCUUAUAGACAGGAGCUUACUAGUAGCACUUUUUAAAAGGUAAUGCUGCUACUAAUUAUUAGUAGCGCUUGGCCGCAGAAAGCGCUGCUACUAUGCGCUUAUCGGUAGCGUUGUAGCUACAAAACACACUACUAUUAUAAUUGCCAAACCGUUUGCCAGCAGGCCAGGCAUACUAGUAGCGCUGGUGUGCAAAAAACGCUACUGCUAUUGUACGUAGAAAUAGUGCCUUCCUCUGACCAGCGCUACUGCUAAAUUUAGCCCCCUCCUAUGACCAAAGUUUAGUCCCACCUCGCUCCGUGAAUAGAAUUUUUACCACCUUAAAUAUGGUGCUUCCCAAACUAUCACAACCAGUUGGUCUUCAUUGAACUCUAUGUGUAGGAUUUGUGGCAAUAUGAAUCUUCGCCUGUACCUAUACAGGCGAAGAUUCAUACUAACAAUUUAUAUUUUACACAAAAAGAUCGAUGAUGACCAAUGCAUUUUUUACUUUGAUGCCUUUUUUGCAUGCUAAAGAUAGGAGUUCACCAGUAGCGCCUGUUCAAGGAAUGCGCUGCUGCUAUAUAGCAGUAGUGCUUCGGCAGCAUGGGCGCUGCUACUAUGAUCAUAGUAGCAGUGCUGAACCUAUAAAACGCGCUACUACUAAUGAUCAUAGUAGCAACGCUUCUUACCCGACCAGCGCUACUGAUAAAUUCAGUCUCCCUCCUAGACCAAAGUUUAGUCCCACCUCGCUCUACGAACAGAAUUUUUACCACCUUAAAUAUGGUGCUUCUCAAACCAUCACAACCACUUGGUCUUCAUCGAGCUCUAUGUGUAGGAUCUUGGCCGCAAUAGGAAUCUUUGCCGGUUCUUAAACCUGCGAGGAUUCCUAUUGACAAUUCAGAUUCUACACAAAAAGAUCGAUGAUGACCAAUGCAUUUUUUAAUUUGAUGCCUUAACGAUCAUAGCCUUAGUAGUAGCGCUGGUUAAGAAAAAACACUACUGCUAUUGAUCGUAGCAGUGGCGCUUGUUAGAAACAAGCGCUACCACUAAAGCCCUUAUCCAAAACCGGCCGCGCGCGCGUCCCCUCACUUCCCCCCUCACACUCACAUCGUGCGUCGCUCCAUCGCCGCCGUCCCUCCUCCUCCAUCAUCGUCAUCCUCCUCCACCCCAAGGUGCCUCUCUCCUCCUCCCCCNNNNNNNNNNNNNNNNNNNNNNNNNNNNNNNNNNNNNNNNNNNNNNNNNNNNNNNNNNNNNNNNNNNNNNNNNNNNNNNNNNNNNNNNNNNNNNNNNNNNNNNNNNNNNNNNNNNNNNNNNNNNNNNNNNNNNNNNNNNNNNNNNNNNNNNNNNNNNNNNNNNNNNNNNNNNNNNNNNNNNNNNNNNNNNNNNNNNNNNNNNNNNNNNNNNNNNNNNNNNNNNNNNNNNNNNNNNNNNNNNNNNNNNNNNNNNNNNNNNNNNNNNNNNNNNNNNNNNNNNNNNNNNNNNNNNNNNNNNNNNNNNNNNNNNNNNNNNNNNNNNNNNNNNNNNNNNCCUCUCCAGCGGUCCCCUCCUCCCCCCUCUCUGGUGGCCCCCUCCUCCUCCUUUCUCUCGGGCAGGCCCCUUGAAGAUGUCCUAGACUAGGGGGUACUCACCACAUCAUCUCCCGAUCUGUUAGAUUGGGCCGAGGACCCCCAUGGUCGUAUACUCAUGGGCCAGUUUGGACAGCUGCCGCAUACAUGGAAGGUUCUACAAGACUUGGUGAUCAAGACAAGGACUCCUCCCCACCGGCGUAUUCGGCUAGGACUCUUGUUAUCCUAGGCCUCUGAUGCAUUAUAUAAACCGAGGCCAGGCUAGUCGAUAGAUAAUAUACAACAAUCAUACCAUAGGCUAACUUCUAGGGUUUAGCCUCUCUGAUCUCGUGGUAGAUCAAAUCUUGUAAUACUCAUAUCAUCAAUAUCAAUCAAGAAGGACAUAGGGUAUUACCUCCAUCAUGAGGGCCUGAAUCUGGGUAAACAUCGUGUCCCCUGCCUCCUGUUACCAUCGAUCCUAAACGCACAGUUUGGGACCCCCUAUCCGAGAUCCGCCGGUUUUGACACCGACAUUGGUGCUUUCAUUGAGAGUUCCGCUGUGUGAUCGGCAAAAGGAUCAAUGGCUCACCCGCAGGUUAACUGCGACGCCGACAUCUUCGUCGCCGGCUUGACUGGUCACCUUGGCUCGACCGAGGACCGUGCUCCAUCUUCGAUCGUCAUGUUCGGAUGGGGGCCUUCUUCAACAUCAACUCCGAUCUCUAUCAUGAUCACAAAGGAGUCAUCGAUGGAGCUCGAGGGCUCAACGUCAACAUUGCCCUCGGGCGGCCGUGCUGUUUUUAUGGACAGCGAACUUGUAUUCGCCGUUACCACCUCCUCGAGCGUCGGUUUGACGAUUGCUUCGGUAGAAUAGUGCGGAAUUACGUCUACAACAGCCAUGCAAAAUUUCGUUGAGUUCCGAUGGAGGAAUCUCCGACAAUCUACGAUAUACCGGAGCCCUGUCAAAUCUGGACGGGAAUCUAGACGAGUUUAGGGCGUGGUCUCCAGAGCCCAGCUCGGAGGUCCUUUGGAAGAUCCAACCGUUCAUUUACUGCGGAAUUCCCAUAUCUAGCACCAAUCCAAAUUUCAGCUUGAUCUGAUGGUUCAAACUCCGGGGACCUUCCCAUGAGUGGACCAAUUUUUGGAUCCGUUUUCUGCGCGAAUACGGAUCCGACCCGAAUUCAUGUUUCUUUAUGAACGUGAUAUUGGACAAACUUUUUAGAGGAAUUCUAUUCUAGGGUAUUGUGCAUUGUUUUUAAACAUGUGCCCGUAAAUUUUUAAGCCUCCCCUGAGGUCAUCUUCAUCAUUAUGCUGGUGUCAAACUAGUCCGGCAAUAUUGCUCCAAGGCUGCCGACCUGCGCUAGACACGUUGUCACUUUGUUGAGCCGAGCUCAACUUCU
rnacentral:lncRNA from 1 species